rnacentral:lncRNA from 1 species
AAUUCAUUAUUUAUUUAAUUAAUUUUUGUUACCUAUUUUUAAUCCCUUUCAUACUUUAUUCCUCUUAUUCUAUCUUAUACAUCCAAACACUAUUUUUUUUUAUACCUGGUACAAAUCUAAUACUGAACCAAACACAAAAAUACACUAGUUCUAGCUAGUUCCAAUAUUUAUAUCUAUCCCUGGAACUACCAGUUCUAUCUUAUAUCCGAACCAAACGGUACCUAGGGAAUGUGAAUCCCUAAUUAGUACUUCCUUCCACUGAGCUCUUCCUUCUUUCCCAAGUUCAAGCUCCACUAUCCUUAAAAACACAAUUAAUUUAUUACAUUAAUUUUUUUUUUUUAAAAAAAACUCUACAGUCCGUACCAUUCUUGCAACAUUCAGCGGCUCUUAUUUUUUUUGUUUUACAACACCGUGCCCUGCAAUUCCUUUCUUUUCUACAUUUUCUUUUUCCCUAUUUAUUAUAUAAUAUAUAUUAUAAUAUGUCUUUUACAGCACCACUCUAUCACAUCAUCAUCAUCGAUAAAUCAAAAAAUUAAUAGUGAAGUUUAGUUUAAGUGAGGGGAUGGUUGGCCGGGGUUGAAGGCGCGACACGUGGCGGCGGGCUUCUGGGGCAGGCCCUGGCAGAAGAAGUACACCUGCGGGGGGCAGCGGAGGAGGCAGUUGUCGGCCAGCGUCACCACGGCGCUCCCCUCCUUCAGCCCCUCCAUCGGGCUCGGUAUCGGCCCAAUCAGGUAGUUUCCCGCCAGCAUCAGCCGCGCGAACGGGGCCCAUUCCCCGAGACCGAGGCCCGCCACCCGCAGCGCGUACUGCGGCGGGAUGACCCCCACGAACCGGUUCCCCUCCAGCCCCACCGCCGCCAGCCGCGGCAUCAUCCCAAAGAAGCCCGGCAGCGCGCCCCCGAUCCGGUUCCGCCCCAGCUCCACCGCCACCAGCCGGCUCGUCGACCACGCCCCGUCGGCCGGCUCCUCCACCCGCCCCCCCAGCCGGUUCGACGCCAGGUUCAGCUGCUCCAGCGCCGGGUGCGCGAACGCCGCGCCGGGGACGCCGCCCUCCAGCGCGUUCCCGGCCAGGUCCAGCACGCGGAGCGCGGGCAGCGCCGCUAGGGACGCGCCCCGCAGCGCGCCGCCGAGGCGGUUGCCGCGGAGCGACGCGGCGAGGAGGGACGCGGGGAGGCGCCCCGGGCCCGGGAAGGGCCCCGAGAGCGCGUUGUCGCUCGCCUGCAGGUAGAGGAGGCCCCGGACGGGGCCGAGGUCGGGGAUGGGGCCCGAGAGGUUGUUGGAUCGGAGAUCGAGGUGGGCGAGGGCGCGGAGGGAGGAGAGCUCGCCGGGGAUCGGGCCCGAGAGGAGGUUCCCGUCGAGGUAGAGCUCCCGCAGCGGCGAGGGAGGCGAAAGGGGGAAGAGGGAGGAGGGGAUGGGGCCGGAGAGGGAGUUGCGGGAGAGGGAGAGGCGGAGGAGGCGAGGGGGUAGAGCGGCGGGGGAGGNNNNNNNNNNNNNNNNNNNNNNNNNNNNNNNNNNNNNNNNNNNNNNNNNNNNNNNNNNNNNNNNNNNNNNNNNNNNNNNNNNNNNNNNNNNNNNNNNNNNNNNNNNNNNNNNNNNNNNNNNNNNNNNNNNNNNNNNNNNNNNNNNNNNNNNNNNNNNNNNNNNNNNNNNNNNNNNNNNNNNNNNNNNNNNNNNNNNNNNNNNNNNNNNNNNNNNNNNNNNNNNNNNNNNNNNNNNNNNNNNNNNNNNNNNNNNNNNNNNNNNNNNNNNNNNNNNNNNNNNNNNNNNNNNNNNNNNNNNNNNNNNNNNNNNNNNNNNNNNNNNNNNNNNNNNNNNNNNNNNNNNNNNNNNNNNNNNNNNNNNNNNNNNNNNNNNNNNNNNNNNNNNNNNNNNNNNNNNNNNNNNNNNNNNNNNNNNNNNNNNNNNNNNNNNNNNNNNNNNNNNNNNNNNNNNNNNNNNNNNNNNNNNNNNNNNNNNNNNNNNNNNNNNNNNNNNNNNNNNNNNNNNNNNNNNNNNNNNNNNNNNNNNNNNNNNNNNNNNNNNNNNNNNNNNNNNNNNNNNNNNNNNNNNNNNNNNNNNNNNNNNNNNNNNNNNNNNNNNNNNNNNNNNNNNNNNNNNNNNNNNNNNNNNNNNNNNNNNNNNNNNNNNNNNNNNNNNNNNNNNNNNNNNNNNNNNNNNNNNNNNNNNNNNNNNNNNNNNNNNNNNNNNNNNNNNNNNNNNNNNNNNNNNNNNNNNNNNNNNNNNNNNNNNNNNNNNNNNNNNNNNNNNNNNNNNNNNNNNNNNNNNNNNNNNNNNNNNNNNNNNNNNNNNNNNNNNNNNNNNNNNNNNNNNNNNNNNNNNNNNNNNNNNNNNNNNNNNNNNNNNNNNNNNNNNNNNNNNNNNNNNNNNNNNNNNNNNNNNNNNNNNNNNNNNNNNNNNNNNNNNNNNNNNNNNNNNNNNNNNNNNNNNNNNNNNNNNNNNNNNNNNNNNNNNNNNNNNNNNNNNNNNNNNNNNNNNNNNNNNNNNNNNNNNNNNNNNNNNNNNNNNNNNNNNNNNNNNNNNNNNNNNNNNNNNNNNNNNNNNNNNNNNNNNNNNNNNNNNNNNNNNNNNNNNNNNNNNNNNNNNNNNNNNNNNNNNNNNNNNNNNNNNNNNNNNNNNNNNNNNNNNNNNNNNNNNNNNNNNNNNNNNNNNNNNNNNNNNNNNNNNNNNNNNNNNNNNNNNNNNNNNNNNNNNNNNNNNNNNNNNNNNNNNNNNNNNNNNNNNNNNNNNNNNNNNNNNNNNNNNNNNNNNNNNNNNNNNNNNNNNNNNNNNNNNNNNNNNNNNNNNNNNNNNNNNNNNNNNNNNNNNNNNNNNNNNNNNNNNNNNNNNNNNNNNNNNNNNNNNNNNNNNNNNNNNNNNNNNNNNNNNNNNNNNNNNNNNNNNNNNNNNNNNNNNNNNNNNNNNNNNNNNNNNNNNNNNNNNNNNNNNNNNNNNNNNNNNNNNNNNNNNNNNNNNNNNNNNNNNNNNACUUUAAAAUGUAGAAAUCUUUUAUUUAAAUAAAUAAUAAAAGUUUAUAAAUACACUAUAACUUAAAUUACAAUUUUAAAGAUAGUAACAUUAAUUUUUGAACUUUCAUGUUAGUUUAAUAUUGAAUUGAUAAUUUGAAUUGAAAUGUUUACUCGUUUAAAUAUAAAUUUUUCUUUCUAAAAUUUAAAUUUAAUUUAUACAAUUAUAAAUACAAAGUUUAAACUCAAGUUAAAUUUUAAAUUCGAAUUUAUGAAGAUUUAUCACUUAUGAAAUUAGCCAUUAUCUAAGUUGGUAAGUAACAAAAUUAAAUUAGGAAAUGAAGAUUUGUUGGAUAUUAUCAAAUUUGGUAAUUACCUAAUGCAUACUUUCAAAUAUUAUUUUUAUAAUUGAUUGGUAACCUGUUGAGCAGGUUACCAUUGUGUAAAAGUCAAUCUUAACCUCAAAAAUUGAAUGGUCGGAUUUAAAUUGGCCGGUGUAUAGAAGUAUUUCUCAUAUAUUUAUUAGGGGUUGCACUAUUCAAUUUUGUUUAAUUGAGAUGAUUCUAAAGCUAUUUAUAGUGAUCUCCAGCUACUACUCACCAAACACCUAUAUAUAUUUUAGCUGUAGGGUACCUUACUAUGAUUAUAGGUGGAUGAUAAUAAUUUUAUAUGAAAAUAAACUUAGAUAAUAAAAUAAUAUUAUCAAAAAAAAUUACUCUUAUCUACAAUUGGGCACAGUAGUAUUUGUUUGGCAAUCAACGUUGCAGUCAAAUUCUGGUGGAUUUUGAGCACAACUCCAGCAUGUAACUUUUAAAAUAAAUAACAAAAAACAAAAAACAAAAUGAGAUUAUAAAUACGGAAAAAAAAGAAAAAAAAAACCCCAAGGAUUUGUUUCCUUUGUAACUUGGCUUGGUCUUGAAACGACACACUAUUGGAUCAAACUUGAGAUUAAUUAGUUGUUGAUGUGUAAAUUUUGUAGGUACUCUCGUUACCAAAUUACAGAAAAAAAAAAGAAAAAAAGUAUUCUGUAAUAUAUCACAAACCUCUUCCUCUUUUCAUUAGUCUCAGCUGAAAGGGAAAUGUAUAACACCAAAACAAUCUAUAACUACAGCAAUGCGAAAAACAGCAGCAGCGAAGACAUACCAAAGUAUCGACGAACGAAACGACGGGCAUCGGAGCAACCGCUGGGUAGAAUAGGGUACGUAUCGGGCGGCGGCAUGACGCACUCGUGGCCGUUGAAGUAUAUCCUCCUAGGAAAAGCCCAUCCUCCUUUGAAUGUGAAUUCCGCGGGAUCCUUCUGCAGCAGCAUCUCAGUUUGCACGUUCCCGUUUUCGCCGGACUCGAGUAGCAUAUCAUUGUAGUACUGUAUCCCCCAGAACAUCCCAGUAUCAUCUGGAAAAGAGUAACACAUGUGCAUCUGUAACAAGGUUCAGAAAAUAUGUGACACGAAAAUUGUGACACUUGACAUGAUAUAAUAUCAGUUGUUCGGAUGUUCUGUAACUUCUUUCGACGAAAAGCAUGCUGAAGUUUGCGAAACACUCACUUGUAUCGCCGUAUUGAAUAAGAGGCCGGUAGUUGAAGCUGAAUACUUGCGUCAGGCUUCGAAGGUUCGGAUGCUGAAUCACCAAGUUCCAAUUGCUGUAAUUCUGGCGCACGCUGAAGUUCGUGAUCGUCACCUUAACCCUCCAGUACUCCCUGUAGUUCAAUUUCAGGUGCCAGUGUACGCGAAUCGGGCACAUAUGCUGAGUGCACAUCACGACAGGGAGUGUCGUCGAGCCAUCGUCGCCGUUUAGUAGAUGCAAGAAGUUAGGUUGCUCAUUCUCCCUAUAUUUAGAUGAGUAUGAGCUGAUGCGUAUGCUGAAUAACGGAGAAAAGAGCGAGUUGAGUGGAAAUGGAGAUUGCCUGACGCAUUGCGGUGCCGUGAUCGGCGAUUGACAACCGCAGCUGCAGUGAGGGCAGGAGACAAUGGUGUUGUUGUAGAAUGUAGAGAGAGAAACACAGCAGCUUGGGUGAUCUGAUUCCCUGAACUGGGAGUAGGAGCAAGUAAUUUGCCAUGUCUCUGCAGAAAAAUUGAUUCAGCUUUAGCUACUACAUUUUAUGCACCUGAGCAAAUCGCAAUGCGAGCUCACUCACUUAGAGCUUGUGUAGUUCUUCGGUUAUCGUGCCGGAACUUGCUCGGCGCAACAUCGACAGCGUCGCUGCACGUGUAACCCGGAACUCCGAUACUGAAAUUCGACGGCUUUUCGACCGUCGAAUUCCUGGCAUUCGCAUUCCCCACGACCAUCUGGAACGCUGACGCGUACUUGAUCGGGUCCUGCGUGGUCGACGAAAGCACUCCUCCUCGGCAACAAUUGGCUACUUGCAUAUUGUAAGGAGUUCCGGGGGGCAAAUCCACAAUAACUGGGCUCUUCUCGCAGCAAUGUGGGAUAGUUUCUCCCCUGAAUCUUGAGCAGCUACCCUGCUCAGUGGUUUCCGCGCCGGUCAUGGCCCAGAUAACUUCGUCGCCGGCCCACGCCCAGCUUAGCCUCCAACCGGGCGGCUCGACGUGCCGAUAGAGCUGGAAAUUGUAUAUUCUUACCAUGACCUGAGCAAUUUUACGAAAAGUGCGAUAGUAAAAUGAAAUCAAGUCCCCAGUAUUUGUAGGUAAGCAUCAAAUGGUUAUAGAAACUAGAAACUACGAAAGGUGUAACUCAAAUUGAACAUAUUUAGUACAAAUUGUACCAAGUCAUGAUGAACUGAACUCACUAAGAUUACUGAUAAAUUACGAGUUUGUAGAAAUCAUUAAACUAGUUUACCGGAAUCUCCGUACGCAUUUUGUUUUUUCUCACAAAUUCCUAUUCUCUUUCACUCACCCAAAAGUUAAAAAAAAAAAGAAAAAAGAAGACAGUUCUCCUCAAAAUGAUUAUAAAAAAAAAGUGCACAAAGAAUCUCCCUAACCACUGCCAUGACAUAGGUAUCCAAAAAUGGAAUUUAUUCGAAAAGGAAAACUUUCACAAGUAUGGAGAAAAAGAGUAAAAGAAUAUGAAUUUUUCUCACACCAACCACAUGAACCCUACUUGAGGUCAUAAGGUGAAUAAACAUAGAAAUUUAUAGAAUUCGUAGAAUAAUUGGACUUGUGACAAACUCUAAUUUCAGAAAAAGAAAGAAAAAGGUAGCAAAAAUGUUAAAUCUCCUAUACAGAAAUUGCACCUGAGAACUUCAGAUGACUACGACAAGAAAUAUUUGUUCUGCCCAAAAUGUCAAGAAAAUUUAUCCGACUUAAUUACCGUGGGCUGUAUUUUGAAUCUUUCCAUGAAAAAUAAAUUCAGAUUUUUAUUUUCUACCAUAAAAUUAUGUGAAGAAUUCAAACCAACAGUGUACUUCCUCAGGUUAUCUUGGACACGGAUAAAACUAAUAUUUUUAUUCUCACUAAACAUGAUCGAGACCGGAUAAUCGUACAAUUUGAAAGCAAAAAAUAAAAUUAAUCAUCCUCUAUAAAUCCCUGAGUACAAGUCUCAUUUGUGAAAAGAGAGAUGGUUUAUGUUGUAUAUAACGUACCGUGUAAACAUCAGUAAUAGUUUGGAAAUCCCAGUUGAUGGUGAUGUUCCCAUUGGGAUCCACAGGAUCAUAUCCCUCUGAAAAUCAAUCAACAUACAUGAAAAAAGAAGGGAAAAAAAAAAAAAAGAAGCCAAACUAAGCCAAAAAUUAAUUCCAAGUACCACCGAUAUAUUUCCAUCUAUUAUAAAUAUAAAAAGGGAAGUGUAAGAAAAUGUACCUGCGAACUGGAAAAUAAUUAAGAGGAGAAAGCAUGAUUCCAACAUGUGGAUGAUGCUACAGCUUCUAAACUCCAUGGGUGUAUAUUUCUCAGAGAGGGAGAGAAAGAGAAACAGGGGUGUGGGGGGGUGUUGUAUGUAUAAAAUGGAGAGGGGGUGGUGCAAGCGUUUAAUUUUCAUAAAAGGAAAUGCAUGCAUUAAAAAUGCAAUAAAGAAUAAAUAGCUAGUGACAUUGAAUGGGGUUAUCAUUUCCGGGGCUACGUAUUGCUCAAAGUAGCACCCAUCUCUUUGGAAAGCCAACCAGGUUCUCCCCACUACUCACUCUAGAGUCUACACUAAGUUCUAUACAUUUAUAUAUACUAGGAAAAUCACUUGCGCAUAGGAAUGUCAAUCGGUAUGGAUACCUGAAAUAUUAUCUGAAUCCGAAUCCGAAUAGAAUGAGUUUAUCCGACCUAAAUGGAUAUAGAUUUGGUUAUGGGUAUAGAAAAUUAAUAAAAACUCGAUGGAUAUGAAUAUGGAUAUGAAUUUUGUAUUUAUCCGACCCGAGCUUGAACCCGAAUCCGAAUCUGAAUAAAUUUUAUAUAUAUAUAUAUAUAAAAUAUCUAAUAAUUUUUAUCCAUUGGAUCUUCAUCCAGCAAUAUACGAUAGUCACUUUAUUUUCCAAAAUUCAAACCCUAAUAGGUCAGGUCUAUUAUUUGAUUGUGUUUUAAAAUUUUUUGAUUUUACUAUAAUAUAUUUUGAAAUAUGGUAAAGAGAAAUCAUUAUUUCGGGUUCGGGUUCAGGUUUCGAGUUUUGGGUCAGGGUCUGAUAUGGGUAUGAAUUUUUAAAACCCGUCCGGCUCGUGUUCAGGUUUCAAAUUGGUUUUCGGGUUCGAGUUAUGGUUAUUGAAAACCCGACCCAAACCCGACCCAUUGACAUCACUACCCGCGUAUUACGGCGGAUUGAUGCUAUAGAAGACAGAAGAUUGACAAAGUAAAAAUUUUAAAAUUUUUUGACUUGCAAUGAGACGUUAAUAAAUAUAAAUAGAAAAUACGAAACAAAUAUGUAUAAAUGUAGCAAAAUUUAUAAUUUCAGCAAAUAAAUUAUACAUAAUAAUAAUGAAAGAAAUAAUAAUAGAGUUAUUACUCUAGACGCACUUUGAUCACGCUGCCGACAUCAGAGAGACGAAUCUUGUUCUCCACAUUGCCUCCACCGCUAUUGUUGAUGUCGAGCUUCUCUUUAGUUACGUCAAAAAAAAAAGAAAAAAAAGUGAGAAAAAAGAAUAUGAAAAAUCUUAUUUUACUAUUUUUUUUGUAAUAGUGAUUUAUUUAGUUGAUAAUGAAUUAUGUGAAUAUAUUAAUUAGAAAGUAGGCGGAUGGGAAGACGAAGCAUCAGGUGGAAAUGAAAAGUGGGAAAAUGAAAUAUUAGAGAGUGGGAAGGAGGGUGAAGUAGGAAUUACCACGUGGCAAACUCUAUUAAAAAUAAUGUAUGAAAAGACGACGCAUUAGGGAGUGGGAAGGAGGGUGAAGGAGGAAUUGUUACGUGGCAAACUCUAUGAUAAAUAAUGUGUAUAAUAAUAAUAAUAAUAAUAAUAAUAAUAUUUAGGUAUAGAUAGAUAUAGUUAUUCUCUCUCUCUCUCUCAAAAAUACAUUUUUUUUUCCAUUUUUGGAAAGGAAGAGAUAAAUGAAGGACAUGGCCAUGUGAGUAGCUGAUUAAACGAAUGUUUCUCUUAACUGCUAUAAAAUGAAAGGGGAAGUGUGUGACUGCGCGCUUAAUGCCACAACAGCUAGAGAAAGGUAAUAAGUUAUCAAGAAAUGCUUCAAUACACUAGCUAAAUUAAAUCUAGUCGUUCAUAUUUUAAGGGCGAGAUUGACUUUUGCAUAGUAGUUGAGUAAUAUAGGAAAACAAAUACAAACUAAUUACCAAAUUUAUUUGUUUCCUUAUUUAAUUUUGUUACUUACCAAAUUAGAUAGUGCUAAUUUGAUAAGUCAUAAACCUUUAUAAAAUUGAAUUUAAAAUUCAAUUUGAGCUUAAACUUUAUAAUUGUGUAUAUUAAAUUCAAAUUUAAUUUUAAUUUUAAUUUUACUUUUCAGAACGAAAAAAAUUAUGUUUAAAUGAAUAGUAUAUUUCAAUUCAAAUUGUUAAUUUGAUAUUAAAAUGACACGAAAUUUCAAAUAUAUUAACUUAUUUUAAAAUGUAAAUUAUGCUGUAUUUAUAAACAUAACUUUUGUUAUUUAUUUAAAUUAAAGGCUUCUAUUUUUAAAAUUAAAUUCAAAUUGUUUAUUAGAUAGUAAAAACAGCAUUAAAGUUCAAAAAUAUUGAUUAAAAUUAAAUUUUAAAUUUAGAUUUAGUUUAUAUUAUAGUUAAAAAAUAAAUUUUGUUAACUAUUUAAACUAAACGAUUCUAUGUUUGAAAAUUAACUUUAAAUUAUAAAUCUGAAUUUAAUUUUAGCUAUUAUAAUUUCNUAGCGAUUUAUUUAGUUGAUAAUGAAUUAUGUGAAUAUAUUAAUUAGAAAGUAGGCAGAUGGGAAGAUGAAGUAUCGUGUGGAAAUGAAAAGUGAAAAAAUGAAGUAUUAGAGAGUGGGAAGGAGGGUGAAGUAGGAAUUACCACGUGGCAAACUCUAUUAAAGAUAAUGUAUGGAAAGACGACGCAUUAGGGAGUGGGCAGAAGGGUGAAGGAGGAAUUAUUACGUGGCAAACUCUAUGAUAAAUAAUGUGUAUAAUAAUAAUAAUAAUAAUAAUAAUAUUUAGGUAUAGAUAGAUAUAGUUAUUCUCUCUCUCUCAAAAAUACAAAUUUUUUUUCCAUUUUUGGAAAGGAAGAGAUAAAUGAAGGACAUGGCCAUGUGAGUAGCUGAUUAAACGAAUGUUUCUCUUAACUGCUAUAAAAUGAAAGGGGAAGUGUGUGCCCGCGCGCUUAAUACCACAACAGCUAGAGAAAGGUAAUAAGUUAUCGAGGAAUGCUUCAAUACACUGGCUAAAUUAAAUCUAGCCGUUCAUAUUUUAAGGGCGAGAUUGACUUUUGCAUAAUAGUUGAGUAAUAUGAGAAAACAAAUACAAGCUAAUUACCAAAUUUAUUUGUUUCCUUAUUUAAUUUUGUUACUUACCAAAUUAGAUAGUGCUAAUUUGAUAAGUAAUAAAUCUUUAUAAAAUUGAAUUUAAAAUUUAAUUUGAGCUUAAACUUUAUAAUUAUGUAUAUUAAAUUCAAAUUUAAUUUUAAUUUUCAGAACGAAAAAAUUUAUGUUUAAAUGAAUAGUAAUUUUACAAAAAAACCCUUCAUACUAUGAGAAUAAAAAUAUAAAUUUACAAAAAAACCCUUCAUACUAAUUUUACAUACGAGGAAAUAGUUUGCCCUUGAUAAGAGGGUGACUGGUACCUAAGGCAACAAAAGCCAGUCAUCCUCUUAACUAAAAGACAGCUCUACCAUUCAUUAUAAAAAAAUUUGAGGGCCGAGAUCUUUUUGGUGUAUAAAAGCAUUGCUCUAAGUUAUCUGCUACGUUUAUUUUUUUAAAAAAAAGAAUAAACUCAGUUAGAGAUGUGAAAGCAAUUAUGCAUCAAACUUGAAUCUCAGGUACCAACCAUCAAACUCUUAGCCAACUGCGCUAAUGUACAGUCCAUAAAGAUCAAUGUUUAUUAUUGAAACCAUUUAUACUUGCAAGCUAAAUAUUUUGGUUUGAAUAGAUCUAUAAAUAUAUGUCAUAUUUCCGGGCCUUGUGGGCUUGGGUACGUUGGGUCAAAUGUUUCUAUAUUUGUGUGAAAUUCGAUGAUUCAAAAAUUCUGAGUUAUUUAUCUAAGCGAUGUGGCUCGACUGUUUAAAAUCGAUCCUAUGAAAAUGAUGGAUUUAAGAAGAUUGAGGUAUAAUAACGUGAUAUAACGACAAAACUAGCAUACUCACUAGAGUUAGGUCAGAAAAGGGUUUGGUGGUUGGUACUCGAGACCCAAGUUCGAAUCCUAGUUGAUUCACAUUUCUAACUAAGUUUAUUUCUAAAUGAAAUAAAUGAAGCGGAUAGCGUGCUACCUAUCUCUCAAAAAAAUAAUAAUAAUAAUAAUAAAAAAAAGAAUGUAUGUCCAAAAACCACAGUAACUGGUCUCUUUGAUUCGGGGAAAACAAACAUGGCCUUACUCCACAGUAAACUACAAUCAAAGAUGAGAAAUUAAUUUUGAGGAUGCUUAAUCUUUUCCACCAAUAAAAAAUAAUAAUAAUAAUAAAAUUUAUUUUCCUCUUUCGAUAUUUUGUGACACUAUUUGAUAAAGUGGUUCCUAAUUGGCAUUCUCUUGGAUUCCCAGUAAUGUUACUUUCAAUUUAAACCUAAAAUUUAAAUUGUCGCAUUGAUGAAAUAGCAAAGGCUAAAUUAUACUUUUUGCCCCCAAACUAUGAGCUGGGUGAAGUUUUGAUUCUCAAAAUUUUACAAAUUUUUAAUUCCUUAAUUAAAAUUUCGUAAUUGUUAUAAUUUAGCCUUACAGUCCAAUUCUAUUUUUUGGAUAUUGAUGCGAUACUGUUGUAGCAGCCAUUUCAUAUUAUCUAUAUACAAGCCAAUCACAUCUUUUCUUCUGAAAUAAAAAUAUAAUACAAAUAUUUUGUAAAAAAAUUAUGAUAGAAUGGGUGAGUUCGAGAGGAGCAAAUGAUUAGUUGGAAACAUUAUAUCAGUAAUAUGACUGUUGCAUUUUAAAUUUUUUUCUAUUUUAGAUGGCUCAAUUUUCUCUUCGUAUCUAUAUUUUCAUCGAUGUGCAUGUUGACUUUUUUUUCAAUUAAAAUCUACCUUUUUGGCUUAUUGAACUUUUUUCGAUGUUAGUUGUACUUGAAAAAUUGAAAAAAUGAAGUUCAACCUAAAUUAAAUCUAAUUUAAUCUAACCCUUUACGACUUGUCGGCUUUGUUAUUUGACUUUUUUUUAAUCAAGGACAUGUUNGUGAGGUGACAUGAAUGCAGGAAUGAAGCUCCAACACUUUCCAAUACUUUCUAUAUUGUACAGCAGUUAGUGGUAGUGUUGAAUACCCCAAUUGGAUCGAUCUCCGGCGUUCUUGUUUGUGGUUACCGUACGUCCACAAAUAGAUGUCUGCAUAAGACAUCAAUUAUCGGAUGUACUCGAGCAAGCAUUCACAUUUCUUAUCGACCAUCUGUCUCAGCAAAAGCUCAUCAGUCUCUCUCUCCUUUUAUGUACUUCUUUGCGAAUGUUUGGUCAAGGCUUCUGCUUCUGCUUCUGAAAGCAGCAGUUGCAGGUUUAUGGCUUAAAGCAAAAAAAAUAUACGAUGGGAUAAUACGAGUGAGGAAAUUGCAUUAACAUGUUAAGCCUGUUACUAAAGAGUUCGGUAACAUGCUUCCGGAGGGAUGGAAAGAAAAGGGUAGGCUCGGAGUUGCAACAGUUUAAAACACACGUACAGAUUCCAACUCGGGUGGACCCUCCAGAAUAUAAACAGUUAGACACAUUAAUUUGGGCAGGCAUUUUAGAGAGUUCUUUUGCAGCUGUGCGGAAAUGUUUCACGAGACUCGGAUCAAAGAAAGAAAUUAAAUCAAAGAAACAACAGGGCCUUCCGGUUCCUGAUACCGUUAUGUCGUGACUUCCAAAUCCUCUUCUUAUCUAACAUUAACCCCACAGAGUCCCUUAUUCUAUGAGUCUCCGCACCUUGUAUUCACAAGCCAUAUUCACAAGCGAGAGCGGAGGUUGCGAGACUUGGAAACUCAACAAAUCAAUUCAGCAAGGAGGCAACUUGAGAUGGAUAGUGUACUUACAUUCGAGAGCUCCAUCCAAGAUUUGUAGCGUCGCUAUGGCUUUUCCGGUUUGGUGUGUCUCUUGCGCAAGCGCCACACCUUCAGCUAAACUGCUCACAUGACCGCGCACAAGAAGAGCAGCUGCUGUAUUUAAAACCUACAUGUAUUCCACGUAAACAAGACGUGUAAAUAAUCACCAAGACAAGAUAACAUCUCUCUCUCUCUUUUGCGAACCUCCUAUUUACAGAUUCUGUUUCCGGUCUUUUUCGCUUUCUUUGGUGCAUGAUCUCAUAUCAAGUCCUAGAUGGAUCCAAGAUGCUAGUACUACUGUUGUUAAAAGGAACAGAGAGAUAAAAAAGUAAAAUCUGAUUAUUAAACUCAAAGAUCACAAGUAUUUGCCUUCUUUGGUGCUGCCGCCAUUUAUUUUGUUUGUAUAAAUGAAUAUUAUACAUCAUUGGAUAAGUGAAACAGAUCGAAUUCUCUACUCUUGUUAUCAUUCGGCUAGCUUGCAACGCAACAUAAUUGCAUGUGAAAAGGCAUCAUCUUUUUUCAAAAAAAUUUAAACAAGAGAAAACAAAGACGCAUUCCUACCAAGAUUAUGUUUCUUCAUGCCAAACAAACUCUUAAAUCUAUUCACUGCAAGCACUUCCUGCAGUAUAGAAUUGGUGUUUAAUAUAAAUAUAAAAAUGCAAAAAUAUGAAACAGGGCCUUAACUUUUUUAUUACUACAGAAAAUGCUCUAGCUAUAGGGAAUUGUUUGUUAUAGCUGAUGUGACGGUCUGUACUAUGCAAAAUAAUGAGCGAUGAAGACUGAAAGGAGAUUGAUCUGUGGGCGGUAAAUAUAAUUGUAUUUUGCCUGGCAGAUAAGGUGAUGUACAACGUCAUGAAUGAAGAAACUACAGUUGGCAUGUGGAACAAGCUAGAAAAGCUGUAUAUGACAAAAAGCUUCUCGAACGUGUUGUACUUAAAGCAAAAAAUUAUAUGGGCUACGUAUGAAGGAAGAUACGGCAAUAACAGAACACUUGAACACCUUUAAUAAAAUUAUUACAGAUUUGCUUAGUAUUAAUGUCAAGGUUGACGAAGACGAUAAGGCAUUAAAUUUUCUUACAUCACUUCGGUCAUCCUACAAUUAUUUGAUGACCAUCAUACUGUAUGGAAAGCAAACUCUAAAGAUGGAAGAUGUUACAUCUACCCUUCUAUCUGAGGAGAUCAAGUUGCAAGCGAAUACCGAAAAAAACAGUGCAAGUUUCAUCGUAAAUGAUACAGGUGGAGAAAGGGGACGAUCAAGCGAACGUGAUGCAAGUAGAGGAAGAUCUCGUUCCAAAUCAAAAUCGAAAAAGGUGAAGUGUUACUUCUAUAAGAAAGAGGACCACAUAAAAAAAACGUGAAAGGAGGAAGAUUAGCCAGCAAUUCCGGUCAAGAUGUCUUGACGAUUACAACAAAUUCAGAAUCUCUCAGUGACUGGAUAUUGGAUUCUAAUUAUUCUUAUCACACGUCUCCAGACAGAUCUUUAUUUGAUAUUUGUAAGUUUUGCGAAAGCAGUAGUGUUACGAUUGGUAAUCGCCCUAGCUGCAAGAUGGUCGGUAUUGGAAUAGGUAUUGGAAUAGUAAAAAAAAAAAAUGUUCGAUAGUGUAGUGAGGACGUUAAUUGAUGUGAGACACAUUCCGGAUCUCAGGUUGAACUUAUAUCACUUGGUACUCUUGACUCUGUUGGCUGUUCUAUUAGCAUUUCAUGUGGAGUGAUCAAGAAAAAAAAGGGUGCCAUGGUCAUCAUGAAGGGAAGAAGAAAAGGAAUCUGUACAGGCUAAUCGGUGAGUCGGUGAUUGGAGGCGUUGCAGUAACAUCCUUGGAAGAUCAUGAUACUGAUGAUACGGAGCUCUGGCACAUGAGACUAGCCUAUGCGAGUGAAAGAGAGAUGUUUGGAACUGUAUAAAAUGGGAGUACUCAAAGGUAUUAAAUUUUCUAAACUUAAUUUCUGCAAAUAUUAUUUAUUUGAAAAAAAAGAAAAGAUUGAGUUUCAGGACCUCUAGUCAUAAAAGUAAAGGUAUACUUCAGUACAUCUAUGCAGACGUGUGGGAACCGGCUCCGAUUACUUCGAAAGGUGGUGUGCGGUAUUUUAUUACGUUUAUCGAUGAUUUCUCUCGUAAGGUUUGGGUCUUCUUCAUAGAGGAAAAGUCUGAGGCAUUUAUAAAGUUCAAACAUUAGAAGAAUGAAGCGGAGAAACAAAUUGGAAAGCAGAUCAAGGUUCUUGGAACGGACAAUAGUGGAGAGUUCACUUCUCGUGAGUUCAAGAAAUUAAGGAUAAAGGUGUUGUACGUCACUACACGGUUUCAGGUACUGUGCAACAGAAUGGGAUAGACAAAAGAAUGAAUCGGACACUUCUAAAACGUGUCCGAUCCAUGAGGUUAUGUGCAGAUUUGACAAAGGAGUUCAAGCAGUAAAUAUGACAUGCUAUAUUAUAAAUUGAUCUCUUGUGAUAGUAAUCGAACUUAAACAUCAGAGGAAGUAUGGACAGGUAAAGUUGCAGAUUAUUCCUCCUUACGACCCUUUGGUUGUCCUGCUUAUAUCCAUAUUCAGGAAAAUCAGCACACAAAAUUAAAUUCGAAGCCAAAAUCUGCAUAUUUCUUAGGUACGAUAUGGGGGUUAAAGGAUAUAAGCUGUGGGACCCUAUCGCGAAGAAGAAGGUGAUUAGCAGAGACAUAGGUCGAUUAUGGGUGAAUUGGGCAAGCGUAGGUCGAUUAUGGGUUACAUCUUUCUACUAGGCGACGGACCUGUCAGUUGGAAGUCUAUGUUGCAGCACGCUGUAGCCUUGUCAACUAUUGAAGCGGAGUAUAUGGCAGAAAUUGAAGUGGCUAAGGAAGAAGUCUGGCUUAGAGGCUUGGUUGGUGAAUUCGGGAUCAUAUAGGAUAAAGUUAUUAUCGAUUGUGAUAGUUAAAAGAGUGCUUUAUGACUCACCGGGAAUCUUGUUUAUCAUGGAAGGACGAAGCAUAUAGACAUCAAGUAUCAUAAAUUACGGGAGCUUACUAAUGGGGAUAAUAGAGAAAUUCAGCAUAUAACGACUUCCACGAAGGAUAAUGUAGCUAACAUCAUGACAAAGUCGGUAACAACGGAUAAGUUUAGAAACUGCCUAAACUUAGCUAAUUUGCAUGACUGCUAAUGACUGAUCGAGAUGACUCAGGAAGAUAAGACAAUAAGAUGAGAGAGAGUAAUGAAGUAAAAAAGAAAUCAAGAUGGAGAAUGUUAGAGAUUAUGCUUUCUUUUUUAUUAGUUUGGUCCAUGUGCCGGAUCUAUGGAAUAAUAGAGAGGAUGUCAUGAGGAUUUCUAUUGGUGAAUUCCAAAUUCUAGUUGGAAGUGAAUUAGACUCUGUCAGUUUUCUAUGCAUUACUUCUAAUUCAAGUCAAAGUUUGACUUGAAUUGGGAAUAGGAUUUGGCCUUGUAUAUGUUGGUAUAGCAUAUAUGCAACUAGUGGGGGAUCCGAUAAUUAGGCUUGAUUAAUUAGCGUCUAAGCCUUGGUGACGUAAGGCAGCAGCAAAAGAAGAAGGCGCACGACAGCUUGCAUGCGAUGGAUUGAAGUCUGGCAGUGCAGCGUGGAUUCUCAACCAAUUACCUGAGCAGUUAGGAUUGAUCGAAACAACAGCAUAAAGAAUUUUGGUCAAAAUUUUUUAUGCUUCUCUAAUUUGAUCUUUUGGAUUUUACGAAAAAUUUUUUCCGAUGUUUUUUUGAAAUUUUUAUUGGAAUAAGAGAAAUGUGGGAUUCACUAUAAAGUUCUUGAUUUUUAUUUGAAGAAAACAUAAGAUGUAAGCUCGUAUUUUUGUUUCUUCAUAUAGUAGAAUAUAUUUCUCUCGCUCUUUUCGUGGAUGUAGAUAAUUACCGAACCAAAUAAAUCUUGAUUUUUUCUUUCUGUAUUUAUUUUUUGUACCGUUUGGUAUUUUUGCUACUUUUUAUGCAUCUUUGUUGGUAAUGUAUGACGAACGAUCCAUUCGAUUUCCAAUAUAAAAUGUGUGCACAUAAUCUUGUUGCGUUACUAUUAUCAAAGUCAUUGUUGUGAUAGGAGAAGUCUUCUUUCUUUUCUGCUUGAGCUAAGGGUAAAUAAAAUCUCUGCAUAAUCUCUCUGCAUUACUGUUAUCAUUACUAUUGUCGAAGUCAUUGGUGUGAUAGGAAAAGUCUUUUUCUGUUUUUGCGUGAGGCAAAGGGAACAUGUGCGUGCAUACUCCUGCAUUACUAUUGCCAUUAAGUCAUUGGAAUUAUGCUAGAUGUCUUUGUCUUUUUGGCUUGAAUAUAGGGGAAAAAUAUGUGUGCCCAUUGUUCCAGCGUUACUGUUGUCAAAGUUUUUUCUUUGAAAGCGAUUGACACGUUUUAUUUUUUAUUUUUUAAAUAAAUUUAACUGAAAAUGUGAAUCAACUAGAUUUCGAACUUGAAAUCUCAGGUACCAAUCAUCGAGUCUUUUACCACUUGAGUCAGGAACGGUCAGUUACUAUUGUCAAAAUUGAUGGCUCAUAUUAUAUAUAUGGCCGGCAGCUGGGCAUUUUGUUGGCCCGGCCAAGUGACUAGAGAGAGAGAGAGAGAGAGAGAGAGAGAGAGAGAGAGAUGGGAGGAUGGUGGUCAUAUUUUUGUUUGUCGACGGAGGAGAGGAGAGCUCGGCUGGAGGUGGCGCUCCCCAAGGCCAAGGACAUCGUCGCUUCCUCCGCCGUCGUCGUCUUCAGGUCCUCAUCCUCCUCCUCCUCCUCUUCUUCAAAAACACCAUUAAUUCUCUCUGAAAAGUUGCGGAGAACAACAACUGUUGCUUCAUAUGGUUUAGUAUGGUAUCAAAAAGAGGUAGCAGGUUCCGAGUUCUUCGAGCCUCGUCAGGCUCCUUGCUCGGGCAAAAUGCUGCAAAUUGAAUUGGUGUCUUAGUAGGCAUCCUAGCCUUUUGCAACUGCCGAGACGCUGAGAAUUAAUGCUCCUUCCAUCUGUGUGAUAGUUUCUUCUUCUUCUUCUUCUUCUUCUUCUUCUUCUUCUCCUCACUUUUUAACUUUUAAAUUUUGUUCGUGCAGCAGCACGUACUGUCCCUUCUGUCGACGGGUUAAACAGUUGCUAAUGAAGCUGGGGGCGACUUUUAAGGCGAUUGAGCUGGAUGAGGAAAGUGAGUGUAUAUUACCAACUUCAUAUAUUUGUCCUUUUUCUUUUUUCGACAAUGUAAUUUUCUUUUCUUUUUCUCUUUUUAAUUGAAUUCUUUGAAUCAUAUUUCAUUAGCGUUGGAAACAACCUUUGUCUAAUAUUUUUACUGAGAGUUUAGACAACUUAUCUACUCUUCUGAUACCUGAAAGGAAGGAUUAAUUCUUAAUUUUUGUUAGUUUCUGAUGGUACGUAAUAUAUUCUUUCGAGUGAAGGUGAUGGGUCAGAUAUAUACUUGGCGCUGAUGAAGUGGACCGGACAGAGCACAAUUCCGAACGUUUUUAUCAGCGGAAAGCACGUCGGCGGUCACAACUGUAAGUUUUGCGCAUCUAUAUAUGUAUGUUUCUUUCAUCUGCUCUUUCUUAUAAUUAUUAUUUCGUAACUAUAUAUGAUGAUGUAGUUGUGAUGUCGAGGCACAGAGAAGGGAAACUGGUACCUCUGCUCGUCGAAGCAGGUGCCGUCGCCGCCCCCGCUGCUGCUUGAUUAGUUAGUAUCUGCACAUACACAUUUUGCUUGGCAUGGCGCAUGCAGUUAGGUGCUCUCCGAAUAACAACAAUAAGAUGCAAACAUUAGUACAAGGAAUCCUGUAUAUGCAGCUCUUGCUUAAUUAUGUAACGUAAUUACUUCUCUUUCCACUUUUGAAUAAAUAGUUUAGACCUUCUUAUUAAUCGGUUUUCUGCCGGUGUGUGUGUGUGUAUAUAUAUAUAUAUAUAUAUAUAUAUAUAUAUAGAGAGAGAGAGAGAGAGAGAGAGAGAGAGAGAGAGAGAGAGAGCUAGCUAGCUAGCUAGGUUGGUAUAUUAUCGGUAGCACGGAGUUCUCUGUGCUACCAAGUUAUUUUCAAUGAUGCGGCUUCCAAAUUGUCGAUCGGUUCCGUUAGACUUGAUAUUCACUAUUGAAAAUAUUUGGAAACUAAAUUUCAUAAUUUUUCAGCAUCAUUUGGAUAGUGAUCAAAAGAUUUCAAAAUUGACAAUUUUAAUGGUAGAUGUAAUGCGUUUGUGAAUUUAACGGUGUAAAAUAAUUCAAAUCUGAUAAAAUUUUCAUAGAAAAUUAUUUUCACUAUUUAGAGUAAGAUUAGUAUCUCUGAUCUUAAAUUCAAGUCUUUUAUCAUCAUUUUUUAUGAGAUUUUUAAUUUCAGCCGUUUAUUUUUAGACUACUCGUUUGAUAGAUAAAUGAUGCCGAAAAAUUAUAAAAUUUAGUUUCCAAAUACUUUCAAUAGUAUAGAUCAAGUCUGACGGAACCGAUCGUCGAUUUGGAAGCCGCAUCCCUAGUUAGUUAAUUCGCGAAUUAUUCGCGAAUUUUUGAGAAAACGAAUUAAACAGCCAAAUAAGUAUUUUCCAAAAGUUCGGAAAAAAACGGUUUUUUUCGGGAAAAAUAAUUAUUCUCGAAUUAUUCGCGAUUCGCGAAUAAUUCGGCCAAAAAAAUGGCGCUCGCGGCGGACUCACGGGUCGCGUCGUCGCCGCUCUCAUCGCCGAACUCAUCGCCGCUCUCGUCGUCGCCGCUCUCAUCGUCGUUGUCGUCCUCCGCCGCCUUGGCCGGCGCCGGGAGCACCGUGCGACCCGCGAACUCAUCCCGUCUCGCCCAAGGGUGGUGGUCGCGCGCGGAUAGAAAACUAGAAAUGGCGCGGCGUUGGGAGCCUUGGUUGCGCGCGGUCCACAAGGCCGAAGCAGCCUCGUGGACCUCAUGAGAGGAAGGUCUACUGUGGACCUCCCUCUCAUUAUAUAUAUAUAUAUAUAUAUAUAUANNNNNNNNNNNNNNNNNNNNNNNNNNNNNNNNNNNNNNNNNNNNNNNNNNNNNNNNNNNNNNNNNNNNNNNNNNNNNNNNNNNNNNNNNNNNNNNNNNNNNNNNNNNNNNNNNNNNNNNNNNNNNNNNNNNNNNNNNNNNNNNNNNNNNNNNNNNNNNNNNNNNNNNNNNNNNNNNNNNNNNNNNNNNNNNNNNNNNNNNNNNNNNNNNNNNNNNNNNNNNNNNNNNNNNNNNNNNNNNNNNNNNNNNNNNNNNNNNNNNNNNNNNNNNNNNNNNNNNNNNNNNNNNNNNNNNNNNNNNNNNNNNNNNNNNNNNNNNNNNNNNNNNNNNNNNNNNNNNNNNNNNNNNNNNNNNNNNNNNNNNNNNNNNNNNNNNNNNNNNNNNNNNNNNNNNNNNNNNNNNNNNNNNNNNNNNNNNNNNNNNNNNNNNNNNNNNNNNNNNNNNNNNNNNNNNNNNNNNNNNNNNNNNNNNNNNNNNNNNNNNNNNNNNNNNNNNNNNNNNNNNNNNNNNNNNNNNNNNNNNNNNNNNNGACAUCAUUUACCUUACGAUCAAGAGGUCACAAAUUUGACAAUUUUUAACGGCCGGUAUGGGAUACUUGCUAGUUUAACGGUGUAAAAGAAUCGGAAUUUGUUGAAUUUUUGAUAGAAAAUUCUAUUCACUACAUAGAUCAAGAUCAAUAACUCCGAUCUUGAAUUGAAGGAUCCGAUCAUCCUUUUUAAGAACGUCGUUCGAUUUUGACCGUUCAUUUUAUGCCCGCUUGAUGGAUUUUAUUAUGAUUUCGAAAAUUUACGAAAUUUAUUUUCUAGAAGUUUCAAAUACUCUAGAUCAUGUUUAACGGAGUGGAUCGUCGAUUCGGAAGCUCCAUCAUCGAAAACAACUUAUGAGUACGAAGGGUCCAAUACUCAUAAGAGUAUAGUAGCCCUGCUCUAUAUAUACUAUCGGUAGCACAGAGGGCUACCAAUGUUUUCGAUGAUGCGGUUUUCAAAUCGACGAUCGGUUCCGUUAGACUUGAUCUACUCUAUUGAAAGUAUUUGAAAACUAAAUUUCAGAUUUUUUUUGCUUGAGCGAAGGGUAUAAAAUGUGUGUGCAUAAUCUUGUUGCAUUACUAUUGUGAAAGUCAUUGCUGUGAUGGGAGGAGUCUUUUGUUUUCUGCUAGAGCUUAAGACUAAAUAAAAUCUCUGCAUAAUCUCUCUGUAUUACUGUUGUCAUUACUAUUUGUAAAGUCAUCGGCGUCAUUAGUGUUGUCAUUACUAUUGUGAAAGUCAUUGGUGUGAUGGGAGGAGUCUUUCUCUUUCUUUGUUUGAAUCAAGGGAAAAAUAUGUGUGCAGUGUCCCUGCAGCAUUACUAUUGCCAUAGUCAUUGGAGCGAUGGGAGAUGUCUUUGUCCUUUCGGCUUGAAUAUAGGGGGGAAAUAUGCGUGCGACAUUGUCCCUGUGUUACUAUUGACCAUGUCAUCGCCGUGAUAGCAGGAUGAGUCCUUUUGUUCUUACAUUAAUAUUGCUGUCCAAGUCAUUUUUGUAUUAACUUAGGAUAAAAUGUGUGGAUAGCCCCCUGCGUUGCUCCACUUUAUUCUUUAUGCCUUUCAAUAAUGUGCUGUUGCUCCUUGGCUUUAUUUGGAAUUUCGCAGAAUGUGCAUUUAUAUAUUAUUAGAAGGUACGACAAAAAGGCGUUUGAUUUAUUUCUGUCGCAUAGAUUAUAGUGAUUUGAUUAGUAUAUAGGUUUUUUCGGUCUUACUAGUUUUAUAACGAUUGAAUCAAUUUUUUUUUUUUUUUUUAAAAGUAAAAUAUUAGGGCCCCCAACCUUUUUCCAAUUGUGUCCCUAUAGUUCUAUAAUUAUUUCAAUGAGCUUGUUAAGUCCUAAUCCACGCGCGGAUAAUAUAUAAUAGGUGUACACCUCUAGACCAGGCGCAGAUGUAUAUAUGGGUAGUAUGUUUCUAAUAAUAAUAGUUAGAAGAGUCGCGACUUGAUUGAAACUUUGUAUUGUAGCCAGGUUGGGUACUCCUAUCCUAUGUAAAUAAGCGCAUGCAGCUGCAUAUAUGCGCUCUUUAAUUAGGCGGGCAAGGCCAAAGUGACGAUCGAGUAGUAAGGGAGAGAGAUGGGAGGAUGGUGGUCAUCUUUUUGCUUGUCGGCGGAGGAGAGGAGAGCUCGGCUGGAGGUGGCCCUCCCCAAGACCAAGGACAUCGUCGCUUCCUCCCCCGUCGUCAUCUUCAGGUCCUCCUCCUCCUCCUCCUCCUCCUCUUCUUCGAAAACACUUCUCUCUCUGAAAUAACUUAGUAGUUUCUGAAGCUGCGGAGAACAAUAACUGUUGCUUCAUAUUUUUUAACAUGGUAUUAGAAAGGCCGACAAGUUCUGAAUUCGAGUCUUAUCAGACUCCUUCCUUGGACAAAAUGCUGCAAACUGAAUUGGCGCCUUGGUAGGCAUCCUGGCCUAUUGCAACUGCCGAGACGCCAAGAAUUAAUGCUCUUUCGAUCUCUGUGAUAGUUUCUUCUUCUUCUUCUUCUUUUUUUCCCCUCGUUAUUUAACUAGAAGAUAACUCGUUAACUUUAGUAUUUAAAUACAUUGCUUAUCUUUUACGAGUUUAAUUAGCAUAUUUUAUAUAAUUAUUAUAAAUUUACUAUUAAGGAAGUAAUGAGCUUAAAUUUUAUACUGAAGAUCAUCAAAUCACUAAAAUUACUAAAAUUAAAAUUUUAAGUUGUUAGAUAGCCAAAUCAUAAUAUGGUUCAGUAAAAUUCUAUACAUUUUUUACUUUUUUUUUUUUAAAAAAAAAUCUAAACUAAAAUUUAGUGUUGCUCUACCAACCACCGAAAAAGAUAUGUUGGAUGUGACCUAUGUGAUUUAUUCAAGACGAUCUAUAAAGAUAUAUUUAAGUUGAUCUAUAAAAAUAUGUUAGAUCGAACGGUUAGUGUGUAUCUGAACACGUCCUUGAUGGACGAACGUAAUUUAAGAUCCUUACAUUAAGUUAUAUAUAAAUAUGUAACAUACGAGAGUUUCGAUCUAACCCUACUCCAAUUUUUUAUGACGGCUCCAUCUCAGAGGAUAAGGGAAUUAAACUUGAAACGUCUCCUUUUUUUGCAGAUCGUGAACGAGGACGAACCACGUGUAAAAAUCGUCGUCUAUAAAUCGGGUACAAAAAUCGAAAUCAUGAUAGAAGGUACGAUCUUAGUUUCUAAUAAAGUUUCAACAAGGUAAUCAACCCAGCUAGAAGUAAGAACUUAGUUAGUUAAUUAGCAUAUAAUACACGAAUUAUUCAUAAAAAAUUAACAAAACAUAUAAAACGCUCUGUUUAUAAACUUUUUCUAAAAAAUCAGAAUAAAAUGCGUUUUCUUCCCUUGCUCAAAGUAUUCGUGAUCAAAACGGAUUCCCUGAAUUAUAUUCCGAAAAAUUCGGAUUGAGCGGCGGUGGAACGACGAAAUUUCUAAAAAAAAAUUAGAUUGGGCGGUUGCAAAAAGAUGAAAUUUCUUAAACCAAUGAUGCGCGACCACCACUCCGCAGAUCAGUGCACCUCGUCGUGAGCAGUCGAGCAACCUUCCUGUUUGAUUUUGAAGAAAAAAAUGAAGGCGGAGCUACAGUAAAAGAAGAAAAGAGGAAAUGCGACUAAGAUGAAAAUCGCGGCGUAUAGGGUUGGAAAAUAGCGGGCCCACGAGGCUGCACUUAGCCUCGUGGGCCUUGUGGAGUGAGAGGUCUACGGUGGAGCUCUCACUCUCUCUUUGUGCUUGUGUAUAAUCAAAAGAUUAGAUCUAACGAUCGAAAAUUUAUGAGUACAAAGAAAUAUAUAGUCAUAAGUGUAUAGUAGCCGGACUCUAUAUAAUAUAUAGAGUCCGGCUACUAUACACUUAUGACUUAUAUAGAGUCCGGCUAUUAUACACUUAUGACUAUAAGUCAUUUUGUACUCAUAAGUUUUCGGUUAUUAAAUUUAGCUCUUUCAUCAUUUCCUCCCGUUAGAUUGUACUAUUCAACCAACCAACCAUUCAACUCUAUGGGACCACUAUCAUCAUAACCGGGGAUCACUAUUAUUUCAACCGCAUAUCUCUUCAUCUAACAAUCGAAAACUUAUCAGUACAAAUGGGUCUAUACUUAUAAGAAUUUUUAUAUUUAUAAAAAUUAUAAUUAUUUAUGUUAAUAGUAUAAAUUUAAAAAAAAAUUUUAAUGUGAUAGGCGAAUUUUUGUUCCAAAUUUUUAAAUAAUAAAUAUAAAAUUCUUGUAUAGACUAUAGAUCGCGUACAUAAAUUAUUGACGAAUUUAAUUUUUAAAUCGGAUCUUCUAACCAAUUUAAAAAUCGAGAUAAAUAUUUUAUUCGAAUUCCGUCCACCUUUGUUUGGUGUUGGGUGGUUUCUCCUCGUCUCUUCUCUCACCCUCCUUGUGUAUAUAUAUAUAUAUAUAUAUAUAUAAAAAAGCAGUGGGAGCUCGCGCGAUGGGAGGGUCGUCGUUAUCGUCGCCGUCGUCGGAGAAGAGAGCUGGUUCGGAGGUGGCGCUCGCCAAGGCCAAGGACAUCGUCGCUUCCACCCCCGUCGUCGUCUUCAGGUCCAACCUCUCUCUCUCUCUCUCUGCAGCGAUCUAGGGUUUCUUCUCUCUCCCUCUCUCUCGGUUUGAUUAGGGAUUCUUCUAUAGUUUCCCCUUGAUUUUGCUUUUGAUUUGAUUCGUCAGUUGAUGAUAUGGAUCGCAGAUCGAGUUGAAUUGGGAUACGGUGGGCUUCUUUUCCUUUCUUGUGGACUCAUGCUCUUAAAUCCUCUAUUCACUAGAUAAUAAUGUAAAUUUGUCUGUUUAUUAGGUAAAACUGACAAUUCUAAUUAUUGUGGGACUAACCUUGUAUUUUCCCCGAAGUUUGUAUAUUGAGGGCGUGCCUUUUUUGUGUUCUUAUUGACCUGACAUCAGAACAGGCUUUGCCGUAUGUCGUAUUGCCCUAAAGAAUUACUUCCCCAAUCUUUCUUUUGUACAUGUUUCAGAUGCUUGCUGAAUUUCUUUUUCCUUUUUUCCCCCUACUUCAGGAACUGUUUUCCGUGAGCCAAUCUUGUGCCGAAAUAUACCACGGAUUAUUCCAGGUAAGUUACCGUUACCAUUUUAUAUGAUGUUAUUGCGAAGAUUUUAUGUCUAAGCAAUCCAUUAAAAUCUGCAGGCUGGAAGAAACCUAUAUGCAUUGGCAGGCAUGCUUUUGGAGAUCAGUAUCGGGCGACAGAUACAAUUAUUAAGGGUCCAGGAAAGCUUAAAAUGGUCUUUGGUGAGCUUCUAUACUCGUAAUAUUUUAGUUAAUUGUAGCUUGUUUGAUAAUUUAAUGUUUGUUUAUAUUGAUAAUCUUAUAUUGGCUCUUCUACUUAAUUGAUAAAAUCAGUCCCAGAUGGAGAUGUGCCUGUGGAGCUAAAUGUUUAUGACUUCCAAGGGCCUGGUAUUGCAUUAGCUAUGUACAACGUAGAUGAGGUGUGCCUCUGGGAGCCUGAGCAUUGAAUAUUUUUCCCUUUUUUUCGCUUUUUGUAGUUUUUUAUACAAAGUCUUAUGUAGCCAUUUUCAGUCUAUUCGGGCCUUUGCUGAAUCAUCAAUGGCAAUGGCACUUGCUAAAAGUUGGCCUCUAUACUUGAGCACCAAAAAUACAAUUCUGAAAAAAUAUGAUGGCAGGUACUACUCUUUCCUUAUAAUUGGCUAUGUAUAUCUGAAAUCUAAUUGCAAUAUGCUAUUAUUUUGCUUUCCUAUCUGUCUCAUUUAGCAUUGGGCUAGUAAUCAUUGGAUCCGCAUUUGCCAUAUUAAUUUCAGAAUCAUAUGCUCAUGUUGUAGCAUUUUUCAAAAGCCCACCGCAUAUUGACAAAGUUUUAAGUAGUCCUAUGAAUGAGAAAGAGAAAAGCUUGAAUUGAGUGUUCAGACAAGUCAUUUCUUUCGGCAUCAAAAUGAACUAAGGAAUGACUCAUAUUCCCAUAGGAUACAGACGGAUUGCUGAAUCUGUUCACAUAAAUUACUUUCAAAGACAAAAUGAGGCUUUCUUUCCUUUUAUUACUCAUAAUUUAGUUUUCCGAAGAGAAUACCCCUAUUAGAGAAGGAAAAUAUUAGAAGUAAAAAAAUGUUUGAGUUUGCAUUUGCUUUAUGAUGUUUGUGCUUUUGGCAAUGAGCUCUUUUCUGUAGUUUAAAGCUGCAGUGAUUUUACAUUGGUAUUUGAAUAGAACUUGGAAAGAAGAAGUUGACUGUUUUGGAAACUGAACUGUCAUAGGUUUAAAGACAUCUUUCAGGAGGUAUAUGAAGAGAAAUGGAAGGAAAAGUUUGAGGAGCAGUCGAUAUGGUGUGCGCUUAUCUGUUUACCUUUCCUACGGUUUUCAGUUGAAAUAAUUCUAACAGUUUGGUAAUUCUUAUUCCAGGUAUAAGCAUCGGUUGAUUGAUGACAUGGUGGCCUAUGCAUUAAAAAGUGAGGGAGGGUAUGUCUGGGCCUGAAAGAACUAUGAUCGAGAUGUUCGGAGCGAUUUUCUUGCCCAAGGUCUUCAUUGUGUUCAGAUUAUCUCAUUGAUUAUUUAUUAGACAAACCAAAGUUUAUGCCUUGAGAACAAAAAACCUUAUUUACUACUAGUCUACUGUGCACACAUGUUUACACAAGGUUGUAAAAUUGUAAUUAUCUGUGUAGGAUUAAUAUUUCUUUUCAAUGUUAUAUGUAAAUCUCCAGAAUUUGCAUUUAUCACAGCCUGUUUUCACUUGUAUCGUUUGCCUGAUAUUGUGAUUAUAGUUUGGUGAGCUUCAUGAUUGUAUGCCAACCCUUGUGUCGUCAAUCUAUAGUAACAAAAUGAAAGAUGUUUAUUCUGGUAGAUUCUUUUCUCAACCUUUUAUAUGAUGAUGCUGCAUGUUCUGAACUGCAUGAAGCAGGAUGGCUAUUUAAUUAUAUGGAGCGAUAGGUUCUGGUCUUUGAUACUUCAACUAAUAUACUUUUUUUUAAAAAAAUUCUAUUAUUUUUUUGUUAUGUAAUUUGCUUAUCAUCAGAAGUUUAUCAUGAUGCUGACGUCUUACAAUUUAUCAGUGGCUGCAGGUUUUGGUUCAUUGGGCUUAAUGACAUCCGUGCUGGUAAUGGCCACUUCUUCCUUCUUUUGGUUUCCAGGAUUUCUAAUAUUUCUGUUGAGAACCACAUAAAAUUCAUUUUUUUUUUCUUUGCAGUUAUCUUCAGAUGGAAAAACAUUAGAAGCUGAAGCAGCUCAUGGUACUGUUACUAGACAUUUCAGGCUACACCAAAAGGGACAAGAGACCAGCACCAAUAGUAUCGCUUCCAUCUUUGCAUGGACUCGCGGUCUUGCACACAGGUACGUUUUAUUGUUCAUUUGGAGAUAGCUUUACUUCUUGGAUUAUGUGAUUUUACUAUUUGUGAGUUGGAUUUGGUACAUCAUAUAACAAUGUUUUUACCUAGUUCUCACUUACACUGCAUGGUCUUCUUUUUUUUUUUUUUUUUUUAACAGAGCGAAGCUUGAUAAAAAUGAUAGGCUGCUAGAAUUUGUGCAGAACCUUGAGUCUGCAUGCAUUGAAACAGUCGAGUCCGGUAAAAUGACAAAGGAUCUUGCGCUUCUUAUCCACGGUCCCAAGUCAGUAUGCUCACUCUGUUUAUUCCAAUUAGAAAUACUUCCAUAUUUGAUGUACUUUCAAUUCAAGAAGAAUACAGAGCAGAAAUCUAUUUUCUCUCUCCCUUUUUGACGAACUGAACUAUUCUGUUUUGCUUAGGGUGUCAAGGGAACAUUACUUGAGCAUGGAGGAAUUCAUUGAUGCAGUUGCUCAGAGACUUGAAGAGAAACUUCAAGUUCGUGCUGUUUUGUAGAGUCAGGUCCGACAUCCAAUCUGACUGCGUAAGGAAAGAAGAUUAGAAAAGUUCAUGCAGGACUCUGGAAGAUUGCUUCUAGAGGGGUAGGGUAUACUUUUUUUUUUUUUUUCCUUUUGAGAUGAUAAAAUAAGCAGAAGAUAACUUCGAUUGGAUGUUUCAUUCAUGAAAUGGGUAUUGCAAUUUUUUUUUUUAAUGGUGUCAUUUAUAAGGGUUUGUAUCUCCGUAUAUUGCUUAUUUCAGAAUGAAUGCUACUUCUAUGGAAUUCUGAAGGCCGGUGAAUGCCGUGGUCGUUCAACUCAAAACACGUGGAAAUGUGCGCAUGAUUAUCCAAGCGCACAAAUAAACAUGUGGCUCGGUCUUGGACCGCAUGUUCCAAAAUUCUGUGGAUGAUCUGUGGUCCCCUGGUAUUCUCCCGGUGGUUGAUUAAUAAUUCCAGGAGCAUUCACAUGAAGAGAAAAGAACGAGAUUAUUUUCUCCAAGAAUGAAUGUGGAAACAAAGCAGGGCCCAUUAUUCCAGCACAGAUGCCCUGCAUUGGAACCAUCGCCAACGUCAUUGGUAUGAUGGGUGGCGUCUAUUUUUGCUUGAGCUAAGGGUAGAAAAUGUGUGUGCAUUGUCCCUGCAUUAAGUACUAUUGCCAAAAUUAUUGGUGUCAUUACUGUUGUGAUUACUAUUGUGAAAGUCAUUGGUGUGAGAGGAAUACUCUUUUUCUUUCUUCCUCUGAAUCAAAGGGAAUAUAUGUGCAGAGUCCCUGCAUUACUGUCUCCAAAUUCAUUGGAGAUGUCUUUGUCCUUUCGGGUUGAAUGUAGGGGAAAAAUAUGUGCGCUUUGUCCCUGCGUAGUUAUUGACCAAGUCAUUGCCAUGAUGGCCGGAGUCCUUUUGUUCCUACAUUGCUGUCGAAGUCAUUUUUACUAUUAAAUUAGGGUAAAAUGUGUGGAUAGGCCCUGCCUUGCUUUACUAUUCCUUAUACCUUUUAACAAAGUGCUGUUGCACGGACCGCCUUUAUUGUAAGUGGUAAAAAAUUUGGUGAUUGAUAUUCGAGAUCUCAAGAUCGAAUGCUAGUUGAUUCAUAUUUUCAGUGAAGUUUAUUUUUAAAAGAAAUAACCGAGGUAGGUAGCAUGACAUUUAAAAAAGAAAAAAAGAAAAAAAAAUUGUUAGUGCUGUUGCUUCUUCGCUUCAUUUGGGAUUGCUUAGACCAUGCACCACCUUUUUCCAAUUGUUGUCCCUAGAGUUCUAUAAUUAUUUCAAUUAGCUUGUUAACUUGUUAUCCACCGAUAAUAAUAGGUGUACACCUCUAGACCAGGUGCAGAUGUAUGGGUAGUAUUUUUUCUAACAGUAGUUAGAAGAGUUGUGACUGAUGAAUUAAAAGAAACUUUUUUUUUUUUUUCUUUUUUGAGAGAUAGGUAGCACGUUACCCGUUUCGUUUAUUUUAAUUUAGAAAUAAACUUAGCUGAAAAUAUGAAUCAACCAGGAUUCAAACUUGGGUCUCGGGUAUCAAUCACUAAGUUCUUUGCCACUCGCUCUAGGGACGGUCGGUGAAUUGAAAGAAACUUUGAUCGUUAGGUUGGGGACUCUUAGGUAGCGUUUGGUUCGGGAACAAAAGGGGGAAUAAGCUCUUGUUCCCCCUUUUGUUUCCAAACGUGAUGUUUGGUACCCGGGAAAAGCAGUUCAUGGGAUUCUGAAAUAAGCUGGUAUAAGACUGGAACUGCUGUUCCACCAUUUUGCUGGAACAAGCUUGUUCCUUGAUGAGAACAAGGUUAAUUAAUAACAGUCAAUUAUUAAUUAAUCUAAUUAAUAUAUUUAAAUAAUUAUUUAUUUAACCAUCCAAAUACUAUUUAUCUUAUUCCUAGAAACAACCUAAUUCUCAUCCAAACGCAAAAUUAAUCUAAUUCCUGAUUAUAUCUGAACUUGUAUUUAUUUCUGGAACUAGCAAUUCUUACUUGUACCUAAACCAAACGCAGUCUUAUGUAAUUUGGCCGUGGCUGUUGUACUAUAUAAAUGAGCGCGGCUGGGCUUUUAGUAAGAGAGAGAGAGAGAUGAGACGAUGGAUGUCAUCUUUUCGUUUGUCGGCGGAGGAGAGGAGAGCUCGGCGGGAGGUGGCCCUCCCCAAGACCAAGGACACCGUGGCUUCCUCCCCUGUCGUUGUCUUCAGGUCCUCCUAGCUCCUCUUCUUCUUCCUCUUCUUCUUCAAAAACACUUUUCUCUCUGAAGUAACUUAAAGCUUCUCUAGUUGCAGAGAACAACAGCUGUUGCUUGCUCCGUGUUCUUUAACAUGCUAUAUAUCAGAAAAACGCUUAGAAUUUAUUAAUGCUCUUUUGAUCUGUGUGACAUUUUCUUUUUCUUCUUCCUCCUUUUUUUGUAUCGUCUAACGUUUAAAUUUUCGAAGUAGGUAGCAUAUUAUCAUUCUCUCAAAAAAAGUUUUUUAAAUUUUGCUCGUGCAGCAGUUCAUACUGCCCCUUGUGUCGACGGGUUAAACAGGUGCUAACGGAGCAGGGGGCGACUUUUAAGGCGAUUGAGCUGGAUGAGGAGAGUUAGUAUAUAUAUAUUUGCAUUAUAUAUAAAUAACCGACUUCAUAUAUAUGUCCUUUUUCCUUUUUCGAUAAUGUAAUUGUCUUUUCUUUUUCUUUUUUUAAUUGAGUUCUUUGAAUCUUAUUUCAUUAUCUAAUUUAACUGACAAUUAAGACAACUGAUCAUCUACUCUUCUGGUACCUAAAAGUAAGGAUUCUUAAUCUUUGUGAGUUUCUGAUAGUACGUAAUAUUUCCAUCCGAGUGAAGGCGAUGGGUCGGCUAUACACUCGGCGCUGGUGAAGUGGACCGGACAGAGCACAUGUCCCAACGUUUUUAUCGGCGGAAAGCACGUCGGCGGUCACAACUGUAAGUUAAUUUGCGCAUAUAUAUAUAUAUAUAUAUAUAUAGAGCUAGGUUACUACGGCUAUUAUAGAAGUCAUGUGGUGCUAUUAUUUUUGGCGCAUUGGAGUUAAGAGAUGUAGCGGCUAUAAUGAUGUGGCCCCUAGGUUUGAGAUGGGUGGUUGGAUUGAAUAAUAUGAUCUAACGGGUGAUGAUCAAAAGGAUAGAUCUAACGGCGGAAACUUGGUAACAAGUACUUAUCGUGCUACUAAGUGCUAAAAAGCCAUAAAAGUAAAAGCCGGACAUCUCUUCUUCUUCUCUCUUCUCUGUCUCUGCUCUCUCAUCUCUCUUCCUCUCCUCCUUUUCUCUCUCUCAUUAUAUAUAUAUAUUAAUAAUUGUAAGGGGGCUCCGUACUACUAAUUGUUUUCGAUGAAUGGCGGCUUUCAAAUUGAGAUCGAGUCGAUUAGUAUUAUAUACCUAUUAAAGAAUUUUGGAAACUAAAUUUCCGAAUUUUCGAUAUAUUUCGCUAAUCAAACAAAAUAGUCCUAAAUUGAAUGGGUGAAAAUAAAAAUCUCAUAAAAAUUAAUGGUAGUGAGAAAAAAUUUUCUUAAAUUUUCUAAAAUAUGAACAGAAUUUCAAUAAAGAAUAUUCUUUAAAUUUCAUGGAUUUGGAUUGUUUUAGCACGUUAACUAAAAACCCAAUCGACUUAAAUUGUCAAUCUUUGAGAUCUUUUGAUCACUAGUCAAAUGAUGUCGAAAAAUUAUGAAAUUUAGUUUCCAAAUACUUUUAAUAGUGUAGAUCAAGUCUAAUGCAGCCGAUCGUCAAUUUGGAAGCCGCAUCAUCGAAAACAACUUGGUAGCACGGGAGGUCUCGUGCUACCGAUAGUAUAGCAGCUGGACUCUCUCUCUCUCUCUCUCUCUCUCUCUCUCUCUCUCUCUCUCUCUCUCUCUCUAUAUAUAUAUAUAUAUAUAUAUAUAUAUAGAGUUAAGCUAGAAUACUAUCGAUAGCAAAUGGGCUCCGUUGUCACCUAUUUGUUUUCCAUGAUAGAGCCUCCAAAUCGACGAUCGGCACCGUUGAACAUGAUCUAUACCCCUUGAAGUGUUUAGAAAUCAAAUUUCAAUUCUUUUCGACAUCAUUUGCCUAAUGAUCAAAGGGUUUCAAAAUUUGUAAUUUUAAUGGUCGAUAUAAGGUAUUUUCUCGUUUAACGGCGUAAAGAUAUAUAAAUCAAUUGAAUUUUUGUUAGAAAAAUUUUUAAACAAUUUAAAACAAGAUCUAUACUCUUGAUCUUGAUUACAAGACUCCUAUCAUCAUUUUUUAAAGAAUAUUCAUUUUCAGCCGUUAAUUUUUGUGUCUACUCGAUGGACAAGAGAACAAUAUUGAAAAUAUAUGAAAAUUGAUUUCUAGAUACUUCAAGUGGUAUAGAUCAUGUUCAACGGUGCCGAUCGUCGAUUCGGAGGCUCCAUCAUCGAAAACAAAUGGGUGGCAACGGAGCUCGCUUGCCAUCGAUAGUAUUCUAGCUCAACUGAGUUGAGCUAGAAUACUAUNNNNNNNNNNNNNNNNNNNNNNNNNGCUCCGUUGCCACCCAUUUGUUUUCGAUGAUGGAGCCUCCGAAUCGACGAUCGGCACCGUUGAACAUGAUCUAUACCACUUGAAGUAUCUAGAAAUCAAUUUUCAUAUAUUUUCAAUAUUGUUCUCUUGUCCAUCGAGUAGACACAAAAAUUAACGGCUGAAAAUGAAUAUUCUUUAAAAAAUGAUGAUAGGAGUCUUGUAAUCAAGAUCAAGAGUAUAGAUCUUGUUUUAAAUAGUUUAAAGAAUUUUCUAACAAAAAUUCAAUUGAUUUGGAUAUCUUUACGCCGUUAAACGAGAAAACGGCUCAUAUCGACCAUUAAAAUUAUAAAUUUUGAAACCCUUUGAUCAUUAGGCAAAUGAUUUCGAAAAUAUUUGAAAUUUGAAUUCUAAACAUUUCAAGUGGUACAGUUCAUGUUUAACGGUGGCGAUCGUCGAUUCAGAGGCUCUAUCAUCAAAAAUAAAUGGGUGGCAACGGAGCUCGUUUGCUAUCGAUAGUAUUCUAGCUCAACACUAUAUGUAUAUAUAUGUUUGUUUGUUUGUUUCUUUCAUAUGCUCUUUCUUAUGAUUAUUUCGUAACUAUAUAUAUAUAUCAUGAUAUAGUUGUGAUGUCGAGGCACAGAGAAGGAAAACUGGUACCUCUGCUCGUCGAAGCAGGCGCCGUUGCAGCCCCCGCCCCAGGCCCAGCCUCAGCCCCCGCUGAUUGACUAGUUAGAAUCUGCAUACACAAUUCGCUUGCAUGGUGCAUGCAGUUAGUUAAUUAGGUGCUCUCUAAAUAACAAUAAUAAUAAUAAUAAUAAUAAUAAUAAUAUGUAUGCAGCCCUUGCUUAUGUAACGUAACUAUUUCUCUUUCGACUUUUGAAUAAAUAGUUUGGACCUUAUUAUAAAUUGGUUUUCUGCUGGUGUGUGUGUAUGUAUAUAUUUCUGCUGAUGAUCAUGAAACGAGGAGCCUGUAUUUGGUUUGAAAUGAGGAAGGGUAUGUACAAUGUGUGUCGUUUUGAUCGGACUAUCUAACAUUUACAAAUUUUGAUUUUGUUAUCAAUAUCAUUUUUUACUUUAAUUUUUAUUUGAGGCUGCAAAAUGUUGUUAACUUUAGCAAAUUUGAAUAGAUUGCAGUUUAGUUAGUAUAUUUUAUUGCAAUUUAUAUAUUAAAAUUUCUUAUUAAAAUAAAUUGGUAAUUAAAUUUAUUCUAAAUUAAAAAUUAAUCAAAAUUAAAAGUUUUAUGAAUUAUAGUAUGAAUCAUAUUUGAUAUGUGGUUCAGGUAGGAUUUCUAUAUAAAUUAUAUAUAUAUUAUAUAUAGGCCCAUGGCUACUAUACUAUUAAUGAGUAUUGGAGUCCUCGUACUCAUAAGUUGUUUUGAGAUAGGCGCUUCGAUUGACGAUCCACUCCGUUAAAUAUGCUUAGAGUAUUUGAAAUUUCAGAAAUAAUAUUCGUAAAUUUUUGAUCAUAAUAAAGUCACAAUAAAGUGGGGAUAAAAUGAACAGGUAAAUCGAAUGACAUCCUAUAAGGCUGAUGAUCUUCAAUUCAAUUGAUUUCUGAUCUNNNNNNNNNNNNNNNNNNNNNNNNNNNNNNNNNNNNNNNNNNNNNNNNNNNNNNNNNNNNNNNNNNNNNNNNNNNNNNNNNNNNNNNNNNNNNNNNNNNNGAAAGCGUCAUAUGACCAGGUAAAUUAUUAACUUUUGAAACCCUUGAUAAUCUAGGCAAAUCGAUGUCGAAAAGAUUUGAAUGUUAAGUUUCUAAACACUUCAAGUGGUAUAAAUUAUGUCAACGGUGCCGAUCGUCGAUUUUGGAAGGCUUCUAUUCAAAACAACAACCAAAAUGAGAAUCGGUAGCAACGGAAAGACCUGUUAUCGACUUCGAUAAUAUUCUAGCUCAACCUCUCUUAAUUAUAUAUAGAUUGAUUAGAGCUAGACAUACUUAGAAGCACCAACCCAUUGGUGCUACUACUCUCUAGCCUUAAUUUACUCCUUGAUUAUUAAAAAAAUCUUUGGACAAAACUAUUCCACCUACCACUACUAUCAACCAUCUACCACCAUCAUUUCAACCACUAAUCUCUCCAUUCCAAUGGCUAAAAAAUUCAAAAUGCACCAUUCUUGGGUUGUGCUUUUGAGAGCUAUUCUAGUCAACAGUAAUAAUAUAAUAUAAUUAUAUAGAAUUACGGCUGGAAUUGCUAUCGAUAGCACAAGUUGUUGUCUAUUAAGUUUUUACUUUGAUGAUAAGAUCUGUACGUUUAGGGUCUAUGUACCCCUUGACUGAAUGCAUCAACUAGCACCAAUUUGUUGUGCUAUAAGUUUUCACCUUGGAGCUGGAGAAUGUGAUGGUUAGGAUGAUGUGUGGCCCUGCUAGAAUGACACAUACAACAGAUUAAGGUUAUAGGAACUCAUGUUUGCGACACUUGAGUAAGUUCCCAUUUUAUGCUAAAACUUAAAAACCAUCUCUAAGCCUAAAUAUAAGUCCAAUCCAACAAAAAUAAAAAGAUUACUCUACUCAACCCACCCAUACCUAGUCUAUUUGGCCGGAUUUACAAAUAGAAAAGAAAAUAACAAAAAUCAAUUAUCAUCUUUCUUCUCUCUUUAGCUGAAUCCACUGAAAGGAGUUACGAAGAGCUUCCUGUCGUAAUCUCCUCUGCACCGCACCACAGAUAGAAGAAGUUCGACGGUUUGCUAAAUGCUUAAAUAGUGUGUAAUUCAAGCAGCGAUAUUUUAGCGGUUAGUAGGCGCACUCUUAAACUUGUCAUAAUACCUAGCGACCCUACAUAUAGCGCACGUAUUUUAAAAGUGUCACCGCGGUACCUUUUGGGACUCAGCAUUUUCUUUGACAUUACUGCAAAAAGUUGUCUUAUUAGACCGUUUUUGUCUGUAGUGUGAGUGAUAUUUGGUUUAAUAGAUAAUCUACGGAUAAAAAUAAGUCAAAGUUUCGUUAAAUCUAACGAAAAUUGUGUAGCACCACAAACGGCUUUCUGUGCUAUCAUAUAUAGUUAUUCCAGCGUCGGGCUCUUCUCUCUCUCUCUCUCUUAUAUAAUAUUAUAUAUAUAAUAUAUAUAUAUUUAUAUAUAUAUAUAUAUUAUAUAUAUAUAUAAAAUGAGCUAAUCAGUAGAUAGAAUUAUGAGGUAACAGGCUAAAUAAAGGAUAUGUAGCGAACGCGAUUCUGGAUAAUAAAGAUGGUGAGUUUGGAUCAAUCACAUAAUUAAAGAUUAAAAAUGUAAUCUAAUAAGUUAGGUUUGUUUGGUAGUGUCGUGUAUUUAAAAUUUCCGUCGAUUCUUUGAUAUUACUGUGAAUGAACAAUUAAUGGAAAAACAAACAGCAAACAUAGUAAUAUUGACUCCUGGUUUUCAUAUUCAGCAUUUGUAAACAACCAUACAUGAGGAGUGAAAUCAUCCCGCCCGCGACGUCCAGCAAUGUAAAUGUUUAUCUCUAUUAAUAAAAAGUAAAUUCGAAACAAAGGCAAAAUAAUGAAUUUAUCAUAUUCGUCUUAAUUAGAUUUUGUCACCGCGUCGCAUCACUGGUCAAUAGAAUUGGUCCAACAAUGCUGAUAAAAAACUUUCACAUGUUAUCAUGUGCGUACGUUGUGUGUCGAGGAUAUGUAGUUAAAAUCAAAAAUUAAGUACUAUUUAAGCUUCUAAAGUAUUGUUUAUAUACAAUACAUUGCUUGAUUUAUAAAAUAUAUAAUUAAGAAUCCUAUAAUGUUCCCAAAACUUUUCUUUGUUAAAAGUUUUAUUUCCACACCAACUAUGCAAUUUAACGAGUGACCACUAAGUUAUCAAGGCUGCAUUUUUUUUUUCUCUCAUUCUUUUUUCCCUCUACAAGAGAGAGCUUGAAAGCGGAGGUACCUGACCUCGCCUCUGUUCCUCUUGCCGCGCCACCAUGCGUUCUCGCUCGCGCCCGCUCCCCCUCGUCUCCUCGCUCCACUUGCUGUAGGCCUACGCCGCGGAUCCUCUUUUUUUUUUUUAUCUGAACCUCUUUCACCGCCUUCGUGGCCUUUUGCGAUCCACCUCCACCUCCACCUCCAUCUCUAUUGAAGCAGAUUUUUCACUUACCAAACCUACUUCUGAGAACUCAUCGUUUUCACCAUCACCGCCGACGACGAAAAGGAACCACUUCUCGGCGCAAAGAAGCUCGCUGGUGAGAGAGAGGGCACACAACCCACCGGCCGGCGACGAGCGAUCUGGAGACGGAGGAAAGCACAAUGAUGCCAGAAUAGAGGGUGGGGUGGCGGCGAGCGCGGCACCUCGAGGCAUGCAGCGGCAAGCGUAAUCUCCGCGAGGUCGGAGGCGAAGGGGACGGGGGUUGCAUGGGAGCAUAUCUUAUUAAGCACUUUUGUUUUCUUAAAAUAAAAAAAAAAAACUAUAAAUAAAAAACUAGAAAAUAAGGAAGAAGAAUUAAUUAGAGAAGAAGUGAGAAGAAGACGAAAUUGCACUGUUAAAAUAAAGUUAAACUAUUUUGGAAGAACGUUGCACUAUUUUAGACGUAAGUUGCAUUCUUUGAGAUAUAAACUACACUUUUUAAGAUAAAAGUUAUGCUUUUUAAAUAAAAAUUACACUUUUUGGGAAAAAAACUGUGUAACUGUCUCUCAAAGAGUAUAACUUUUAUUUAAAGAGUGCAAUUUUUAUUUUAAAGGGUGCUCUUUGGGAGGAGAAAUAAUAUAACUAUUUUUCAAAGAGUACAAUUUUCGUUUAAAGAGUGUAACUUUUUUCUUAAAGGGUAUUCUUUGGGAGAAAAAAUAGUGUAACUAUUUUCAAAAGAGUGCAACUUUCGUUUAAAGAGUGUAAUUUUUAUUUUAGAGUGUGCAAUUUACAUAUCAAAGAGUACAACAUAUGUCUAUAAUAGUAUAAUGUUUUUUAAUAAUAGUGUAACUUUAUAUUAACAGUGUAAUUUCAUUUUCUAUUUUCUUUUUUCUCUCUCUAGUUCUUCUUCCUUAUUUUGUAGUUUUUUAUUUUUACAUAAUUUUUUUUUGUUUUAAACAAACAAAAGUGCUUGACCAAAAAUGCUCCAAUGCACUCCCCUCUUUCCUCGCCUCCAACCUCGCCGAGGCCGCACUCGCUGCCUUCCCGCCCUUUUCUCCGACGUCGUCGCGCUUUCCUCCGUCUCCACCUCGCUCGUCGCCAACCCCGGAUGAGCGUGGUAGGUCGCGUGCCCUCUCCCUCGCCAGCAAGCUUCUUGACGUCGAGAAGUGCUUUAUUUACUGCGUUGGCGGCAGUGGUGAGGACAGCGGGUUUCCAGAAGUAGGUUUCGUGAGUGAAAAAUCUGCUGUAGUGGAGGUGGAGGUGGGUCACGAAAGCGGUGGAGGAGGUUUGGAGAGGGAAAAAAAAAAGGAUCGUGGCGCAGCCUCGAUGGGAUUGGAGAUAAGGAAGGCAGGGGGUGAGCGGGCGCGGGCGAGGGUGCAUGGUGUGGACACGAGGAGGGGAGUCCCAAAAGGUAGCGACGAGCGCAGUCUUGGUGGGGUCGGAAGCGAGGAAGGCGAGUGGUGCACGGACGCAUGCGAGGGUGUGGGGGUAGAGGCGGGGUGGGCCGCCUUCGUCUCAACCUCUCUUUUUGAAGAGGGAAAACAAAAAGAACGAGAGAAAAAAAAAAUAGAGAAGAAGAGAUAAAGGUAUUUUGGUGAGUUUUCUGAAAAAAUUCGGUCCGAAUUUGUAAAAUCGAAAAGGACGGUCAGUUUUAUAAAAGUUCAAAAUUUGUAAAUUUUUUAUGCAAUUUGGCCAAGUAAAAUUUUAAUUUUGAAAGAUUCGAUUUAAAUAAAUACUGUGCGUUUGUGUGCGCGCGGGCGAGAGAGAGAGAGAGAGAGAGAGAGAGAGAUCCACAUUUUGAAUGAUUUGAAACUCUUCUCCCCAUUAGUUGAAUUCUUCUCCCCAUUAGUUGAAUUUGGCCUAUAGUCAAAUUGAUUUCGACUUGUCCGCCUUGUUUGAUUUGACAUUUAACGAAAGGUUCAAUGGAACAUGAAAUUUGGCCUAAAAAAAAUGCUAGUUGUAUCCCUUGGUAUAUAAAAUUGGGCACUUUUGGAACUUACAUUUUACAUUCCAAUUCUAAAGUUUAAUUUUUUUUUUUAAAAAUAAUAGUAAGAAAAAGUUUAGAAGAGAAUUAUAAAAUAUUACCGUUUAGAUGAAAAGGUAUAAAAUUUAUACAUAUAUUUUUUAAGACGUACAAAUAGUAUUACUUUUUGACCCAAAUAUAUUAAUUAAUUGAGAAAUGAUUCGGUACUUUAAAAAAAAAUAAAUAAAAAGAUCUUAACCGUUGAUUAAUAGAGGGUAAAAAUGUAACUUUAAUAUUUAGCAGGUAAAAGGAUUAUUUUAUUCAAGGUUAGUUUGGUAAUUAAAUAAUACAAUAUUUAAAGAAACUUUUAAUUGAUGUCCUAAAUUUAUGCAUUAAUUAGCACUAAUUUAGGAAAUUAAUUGAUUAACCAAAUUUAUGCAAUUAUUAGGCAUUAAUUUAGGAAUCUACUUUAAAUGUUUUAGUGUUUCUCAAAUUAUGCAUUAAUUUAAAUUAUAGAAAUUUUAGAAAUAGUUUUAUUUCUAAAUACGAUGAAUUUAAAUUUUAAAAAUUAAAUACUUAAAAUUUAAAAGUGAAAUUUAAAUUAGAGGAAUUUCAUAUUACUAUUUAAAAACUAAAUUUCUACCAAGAUUUAAAAUACAGUUUAUUCGCACCAGUUUAAAACGUAAUGCAUAAAAAACUUAGAGAGUAAGAUUUCUACAACUAGAUUUCUCUAGAGGAAUUUCAUAUUACUAUUUAAAUUUUAAAUUCAAUGAUUUAAAAACUAGAUUGAACCGAUUGAUUUGACUGAUCAGACUUUGACCUAUUCUAUCAAGAAUCUGAUUUUAACCUAUUGAACCGAAUAACAUUAAGAACAAUUUGGAACCGGUAAAGAUAAUAAAUAUUUUAAACAGAAUGAUAAUUUAACUGUUAGAGCUAAUAAAUAUUUUAAAUAUAAUUUUAAACAUAUAAAUUAAAAAGAUUAGAAUUAUUGGUGAGAAAAAAAAUAGUUAGGAAUUUGAAUUCGAAUCUGACUAACAAUCACAAAACUUAUUUCCGAACUCGACGGAUUUCAAAAAUCCAUAUCCAAAUUCAAAACUGACCAAUUUUUCGAAACCCAAAACCAAACCUAAACCAGAAGACUAGAAUUCAAACAAUUAUUUCUGUUUACCAUAUUUCAAAGUAUUUAUAUGAAACUUAAAUUUUUAAAAUAUAAAUUUGAAUAUAAUAUUAAAUUUUAAAUUUAAAAGUGAAAUUUAAAUUAGAGAAAUUUUAUAUUACUAUUUAAAGUUUAAAUUCAAUGAUCAUAUUGUCAAAUCAUUUGAAAUUUUCCUUAUAUGAAAUGCCAAAUUAUGAAAGGAAAGAUAGAGAGAGAAAAAAAAAAACAAAGAAAAAAUAAAAAUUUUGAAAAUAUAGUAGAUGUAAAAUGACUAAAUUGCCUAUGUAUUAAAAGACAAAAAUAUCCUUUUUUGAGGUACCUGGUAACUGAUACCUCUUCCAAAGCGACCUGCUAUUGCAGGUCACAAUUUUAAAAAAACUAAAUCUGAGCCGUUAAAUACGCGUGAAUGAACGGUAACCAAAAAAAAAAAAGUAUAGAAGCAUUACUCUAAUUAAUUAAAUUUUACACCCAACACAUGAAAACAAUAUCAGAUAUAAAUAAUAAUAAACUAGUUACACUCUGAGGUCCCCAUAGAAUUACUACAAGAAAUAAUAGUGGUAUAGAGUGUGGUUUAGAAUUCUAUAAAUUAGCCUAAAUUUUAGACCCUGUUUAAUAUUAUUGUUUACUUUUAUUUUUUAAAUGUAAAUCUUACAUGAUGAACAUGGAGUAUGUAAAUAUAAAUGCAUUGUACAUACCUGAAUUAAUGACUAUUUAGUUAUACAUAAAAAUAUAUAAAAAAAAUCCUAAUAUUAAACAGGGUCUAAAUAUUACUCCCUGGAGUUCUGUUAAUGAUCAAGUUCCAUAAACUAUUCUUGUCAACUUUUUUUUUAUAAUUUUUUACACUAAAAUUAAAAAAAAAUCAAUUCUAGAAUGGAGAGAUAUAAGAUUAUACCUCAUUGUGAUGAUGUAGAAAAACUAUCUGCUGAGACAUACAAUCAGAGAUAAAAUUUCUUUUACUUAUAAAAUCAAAAUUUAAUAUUAAUACUCAAUUUUUUUUUAACAAAUCAAUCAAAUAAUUGCCAAAAAUAACAAGUACUCAAUUUGUGACGAUGCCGUAUGAAACUGUAGAAGUGAGAAGUCUCAGCUCCUCUGAAACCAAACGCAGAUUACAAUAACAACCCCCCAAAAUAAAAAUAAAAAUAAAAAUAAAAGUAAAAGGGAAUCCACAUGGGAAUGGUGAUCUAUAGUGUUGUUGUUGUUGUUGGAUCCGGUGCGAGAGAGAGGGGCACGGUUUUUGUACGGUAGGUGGAGCGUCCAGAGAUUUUUUUUUAUUUUUUUUAGGAUUAAUUACGAACAAUUUUCUAUAAACAUAUUGAAUAACAAAUAUAUUUCUAUAAAUUUUAAUUUUUUAUUUUUUUUUAUAAAAGUCUUAUUUUUUUAAAUAUACUCCCGCUAUUACGAUUCAUUACAAAAAUAUAGUUAAUUACAAGUAAAAUACUUAACUCUUAUUAGUACGUAAAUAAGUAAAUUGAUUUUUUUAUUCAUUUUAUAUUAUUCAUGAUAGUAGAAAGUGAGAAGAUAAUCAUUAAAAAUUUUUGAGAGGGCAUUUCUAUAUAAUUCUAACACUUAGGAUUUUUGGAGAGACAUAUCUAUAAUAGCAAAAAUAACAAUUUAUUUAUCUUUUGUUAAACAGUAUUCUAACAAUAACAAAUCAGAGAGGCAGCUAUGAAUAUCAGUGGACUUUUAUAGCGAUGAAUAUGACAAGUUAAAUUUUGUAGGAAUUUAUUUGCUAUUCGAUAUAUUUACAGAAGCUGUAUAAAAUUAACUAUUUUUAAAUAAAAGUGUACAGAACUUAUAUCUUAAUUAUUAUUCAUUUUGAUUUGACUGUCUACUUUUAAAAAAAAUUUAUUUUAUUUUAUUUGAGCCAAUUUAUAAUCCUUUGACUUAAAUUUUGAAUACAUCCAUCAAAUAAAUUAAAUUAAACAAAUUACAAUUUUAGGCACUAAAAUUAAAUUUUUUUUAUUUUUAUAAAUUUAUUUUUGAGUAAACUUUAAAUACCCUCCCUGUGGUUUCAUACUUUCUCACUUUAGUAUCCCGUGAUUUAAAGUGUAUCAAGUUAGUCCCUGUGACUACGCUCUUUCUGACUUUAUUACCUUGUGAUUUAAAAUGUAUCAAAUUAGCACCCUGUGGUUUUAUUUUUCUAUUUUUAUUAUCCAUUUUACUAUUUUUUUUUUAUUAAAUCAGUAACAAAGUUAAAAUUAAAGGAUACUAAAGUGAAUAUUCGAUAAACCUAGGUAAGGGUAUCUGAAGAUUUUUGUAUAUAAUUUAACGAAAUAUUAACGGAGGAAAAAAAAAUCAAUGAUAAAAUUAAAACUAAAGAAUAUUAAAGUAAAUAUUCAAUAAAUCUAGAUAGGCUAUCUGAAGUAUUUUGUAUAUAAUUUAACGAAAUAUUAAUAGAGGAGCCGAUGAGAAGAAAAAAAUGAAAUCACAGGGUACUAAAUUGAUGCACUUUAAACCACAGAGUACUAAAGUGAAAAAGUGCGAAACUAUGGGAUAGUAAAUUGAUACACUUUUAAUCAUAAAAUAUUAAAAUAAAAAAAUAUAAAAUUAUAGGGGUGGUAUUUGAAAAUUUUCUUUUAUUUUUUGGAUCUUGCAAGUUCGAUUCCUCCGCACCAAGUAUUCCCUACAUUUGCCGCCCCUCGUGAACUGCGACGUCCCCCGCACAUGCUCCCGCUCAGUUUCUUUUACGGUUUGUCCAGAUCUCUCUCUCUCUCUUCUUUUUUUUCUUUUUAUUUUUUGGGGGGGGCCCUUUCACGAAAAUGCCCCCCACAUUUACCAAAAUGACAACUUUGUCCCCAACUCACUUCGAAAUUGGAAAUUAAAUUGGAAAUUAUGGUAGUGUUUCGUUCACGGUAUUUCUCAAAAGUUCCUCAGAACUUAAAUCUUAAAACUGAGAAUUUUUAUCAUGUCGUGGUUAGGGGUGGCAAUUCAGUUUGUCGUUCGCGUGCUAGCUCAUGUUCGUCUCGAAAUGAGUUCGAGAUCGAACCGCUCGUUUAGUAAACGAGCCGAACACGAGCUGAAUUUUUCAGCUCAUGUUCGGCUUGAAAUUAUGGUACGAAUCGUUCAUGGUAUUUCUCAAAAGUUUCUCAGAACUUAAAUCUUAAAAUUGAGAAUUUUUAUCAUGCCGUGGAUUCCAGCUCCAUGUCAAUUCGCCAAUAGAUUCGCUGUAUAGACAGAAAAUUCUAUGUACACAGAGCGAUAGAAUUAUUUGUAAACAGUAAAAAAAACAACUACUGCACCAAUGCUGAAAUUAAUUGGGUUUCGGAGUUAAUUAGUGGCGUCAAUUUCGCAUCCAAAUUAAAUCCGACUCGUCUUGACACUUUUCUGAAGUGACGAUCAAUUCAAGGUCUGUAACUUUUCCUGAAAAAUAAUAUUUUAUUUUUUUGGAACACUACAAUUUUCUUAUUUGGUUCGUCGCAAAAAUGAUAGUAAUCUAGAAUUUUUAUAUAUUUUAAUUCUACAAAGCGUAGGAAUUCAAAACUCAUUCACUUUCGUAGUAGUUUCCUUUCUCCACAUUAUGUGGUUUGAUUUUAAUAGAUUAAAGGGUUACUUUUAAAUUUAAUAAUAAUUACGAUGCUUUUUGGUGUAAAAUAAUAAACUUAUUAAUAUAAUCUACUUAUUUUUUAUGUCGAGUCAAACACAAACAUAAUAUAAUACUAAAUAUUCUAGAUACGAACCAAAUAAAUAUUCUUAUGAUAUUAGAAUUUAAUUCUAGAAUAAUAAUGCUUGAGAAAUUAACUUGGUUAUGAAAAUUUUAAAUCGUGCAAAAUUUAGUGGACUUAGCGAGAAAACAACAUUCGAGCAAAAUUUUUUGAUGGAUAAGAAAAAGUGCGAUGCUACGUCCACAUUCUGAGGCCAAUAUUUUUUCUUUACUUAACUUAAAAAUAUAUUUAGAUAUUUACAAACCUUAAAAUGAAGAAUUUUACAUUUACAUAUUCGUGUACAUAUUGCAUUUUCCUACAAAAAAAAAAGUAUAGUGCAAAUCCCCACAUUAAAAAUUUAAAACCCCUUCAAAUAUUUAUAGUUAUUUAUUUAUUUUUUUUUUGAGAGAUAUGUAGCAUGCUACCCGCUUCAUUUAUUUCAUUUAGAAAUAAAAUUUAUUUAUUUAUUUUUUGAGAAAUAGGUAGCAUGCUACCCGCUCCAUUUAUUUCAUUUAGAAAUAAACUUAGCUGGAAAUGUAAAUCGACUAGAAUUCGAACUUGUGUCUCGAGUACCAACCAUCAAGACUUUUGCCACUUACUCUAGGGACGGUCGGUAAUAUUUAUAGUGAUUUAUUAGUUAAGAAGUUGGCGGAUAGAACUCUAAAUUUAAAAUUUUCUCACAACAGGUCGAAUCCACAAUCUCUCAUACACUAAGAAGCUUUAAGUUAAUAUGAAUUUUAAGAAAGUAAUUUAGAAACUUUGGAGAAAUAUAUAUAUGCAUGCAAUUAAUGCCUCGUAAAAGUUGUUCCAUAGAAAGAUUUAAACGGACCCGCCUACGCAAACAAAUUAAGGGACAUUCAAUUUUUCAAUGAACGACCAUAAUGAUAGUGUGACACCUUUUACCUAUGAGCAAGAAGAAAAUAGAGCAAAUCCUUUCAAAAAAAAAAAAAAGAGAAAAUAAUAAAAAGUAGACCAAACAAUGAAAUUAAUACAAUAACUAGCACGUUAUAUUCUAAAAACACACUACUGAAUUAAUAAGGAGAGUUUUUAAGAAGUGAAGGGCUGGAUUAAUUUCGAUAUACAAUUGUGUUAUCCAAAAAAUUGAUCUGAUAUAAAACGAUUCAAAAUUAAUUUUUGUCAUAACUGUAACUACCUAGCCCACUAGCAAUAAUAACUCGUUGGGCCCAACCAUCGGCCCAAAAUGCUUAAGCCCAGUUAUUAUUACUAGUGUUUAAGUUUCUUAUAAACCCAAUAACAACCCCAUUUCCAUCCGAUGUGGGGAUUGGGGUGUCACAAACUCCCCCCGUUAAGGCCCUGACGUCCUCGUCAGUCCAAUCACACACACACAGCCCAAGAUCAAGAUCACCAGGCGAUGUGAGACUCGUCUCGCUAGCUCGUCAUCCAGACCCUGGCUCAGCCGAGACUCGCCACACAUGUCUAGCUGGUGAACCGGCUCUAAUACCAAAUGUAACGACCCAGCCCACUAGCAAUAAUAACUCAUUGGGCCCAACCACCGGCCCAAAAUGCUUAAGCCCAGUUAUUAUUACUAGUGUCUAAGUCUCUUAUAAAUUCAAUGACAACUCCAUUCUCAUUCGAUGUGAGAUUAUUGGGGUGUCACAAUAACGAACACAGAAAACGCCCCCUUGCCAAAAGAGAGUUCAUCUUGUUUAUGUAUGAAAACAUCAAAUUUUUAAUAUUAAUUUUCUGAAGCUGAAGCAUAUAAAUAAACUGAGAUAGUCAAUUCAAAAUGCUCAAAAUGGUAAUAGAACAUUACCACAAGGAUUCUCCUGUGUAUGAGCGGGAAUCUAGGGAAAAAGGGUAUAGUAUAUGGAUAAAAAAUAAUCAACAAAGAAAAGAAAAAAGUUGCAACCUACUUAACUAGGGGGCGACAAGAGGGUGAAAGCCAAAAGACUAGGAAGGGUAAAAGAGGAAAACAAAUAAUAAUAAUAAUAAUAAUAAUAAUUAAGAGCAUGGCUCGUGGGCUCUCCCCGUCACUGAAGCACUUGGCUAUUGAUCGUAUUUUGUAAUUUUUAUGUAUUUAUUUAUCCCACUCUCUCUCUCUCUCAAGAUCUCUCUUCUUUCUCUCCCUCUCUUCUUUCUGUGUGUGUGUGUGUGUGUGUGUGUGUGUGUGUGUGUGUGUGUGUCCCCCACACCCUUCCAUAGAUCAGACUGCACGCCAGAAGGGCCAGAAAGGGGCAGAAAGCAGGGCUAACGUCUUCCUCAAAAGCAGCUCUUCUUCCCAACCUGGAAAGAUAUAACAACAACCUUAAAGCUCAAGGGGUUUGGGGAAUGAGGAGUAUUUAGCAUAUAAAUAAGUCAAUGCAUGCUAUGUGUACCUGUAAUGUGCAGGGCACCGUGAAACAAUCGUUUAUCUUCAAUAGAUUAAGCUGUCAGAGAACGAUCGAUGCUUUCGUAUUCUAUAUCAAGGAUUCGACGAGAUUGGAAUUCAGAAUUUUUGUUAUGAUACUAUUUAUUUUUGAAAGCUUACACUAUCACAGAAAGUUAUUUUUUGUGUCAUAUAAUUCGAUAUGAGUGCAAUGUCUGUAGACUUAAGCAUUUAGAUUCAAUGAGUUUUAAUAGAUAUUUCACAUAUUUAGACUUGCGUGGAUCUUGGACUGAAUCGAAACUCCCUAUAAUGUAUAAUGUCGCGCAAAGAAUAAUAUACAAAAAUAGAAUUUGGAUUGUGAAAACCAUAUUAUAAAGAAAUUUGUACAAAUUAUAUAACAGGGGAUCCUACGGACUGUCGAAAGAAUUUAUAGUAUCAUUCUUGCAAAAAUACUUGCCAACUCGACAGUUAAGUUGCGCAUCAAUGCCAACAAACUAAAUUAGUAAUAAGCUGACUUAUCAAUUAUAUUUCCAGAUUCGUUUACGGUCACAUGUAAACAAAGAUGAGGUUGGUGAGCAUCUCAAGUUCUCAAGUGCAUUACGAACCUCUGCCCCAUCCGUGUUUACUUGUAAUUAAGUACCAACUCAAAAUAACAUUUAAUUUUAACACUCUCUCACCAACCUUUCGCAUGUACUGACCCUACUCAUAAUUUUAUAUCGUAUAUAUAUAUAUAUACCUUCCUUUCACCUUCCUCCUUACUAUUAUUUUAAUUACUAGGAGAUAUUUAUUACAUUUAUGCCCAGUUUCAUAAACCCAUCCCUGUGUAAAAGGGAGAAUUUUCGUAAAUGCCAUUAAUUUAAUAAAUUGAUGCAUCAUGUANNNNNNNNNNNNNNNNNNNNNNNNNUAUGAAUUAAGUUGUUUUAGCUUACUAAAUUGGACAUCGUAUUAAAUUUACCAGUGAAUUCACUGCAUUUAAUAUUUUUUUAUCACCUCUUAGUAACUAAAUUAGAUGGCUAAUUAACAAUUAAUAACUAAUAGAGCCAUUAAAUUUGAUAAAAUUGUUAACUUAAUUAAAUGUAAAAUCUCAAAUAGUUGAAGAGGAUCUGUUUCAAAAUUUUCCAUAGUUAAGGGGGUAUUCAUAAAUUUUUCCCCAAAAAAAACACCCCACAGUAAUUAGAGGAGAUCGAGCACAUACACAGUACCCACAAACACAACUGGCACCGUCAAUGUCAUUAGCGGAAUAUCUCGGGCGAGGGUUAUCCCAUUCCAUUAUGAGUCCUAACCCCUGGUUUUAAUCAAUAUUAUUAUACAAAAAUAUCCAACUCGCAUGGUAAAAAUAGAGGAUAGGAUAAAUGGUGGAAAUUAAUUAACUAAUUAAUUAACUAAUUAAUUAGAAAUAUCAUGCAUGUUGGCUACUUGGCUUUGGGGCUUCUAUCUCCAGCUAACUCUCCGAAUUGAACGGUACCUGAUGUUCCUACUUGCUUUGAUGUGGGCCAUAGUAAACAAUCCCAGUUGAUGAUUAGUAGUGGGGCGAAAAUAAUGUUUGAGACCACAUUGUUUCCUUUUUUUUGUUUAUAUCAAAUUAACCUUUUUUAGAAAAAAAAAUAGAAAAAAAUUUAUUUUACUUUAUUCUGAUUUAGCGCAUUUUCACUCAUCAUCACAUAAAACUGUAUUGUACUUUUAUUUUUAUUUUACUGUAAGAAUCUAUUAUCACAUAGAAAUUUUUGGUUUUCAAAGAAUUUUACUUUACUAUUCUGUUUGAUAGUGAAUUUUUUUUAAUAAAAUAAAAAAAAAAUUCUAGAAUAGAUAAGUAUAGUGGUUUGAACAAGAAGAUAAUAGAGGGGCAAACUAAAGUCUACACCCAAAAAAUGUGAUGUUGAAGACCGUUUUAUAUCUAAUGGUUUAAUUUCAUACCGAGUAUUUCGAUCUGUUUGAAUGUUAGAAUAAGUUAUUUGGUAAUAAUCGAGAAUUGCUGAAUGAGAGCAUAAAUAGCAUCUCUAGAUAAAUAAAAAUAAUUGUGGAAUAAAUAAAAAAAUAAAAGUAAAAAGUAAAAGAGUAA